AUGCUAUUAUUUCCUCCAUUUUUUCACAAUGUCGGACUCUAAUUGUCUCUAAGUUUUGGAGGCCCUGCAACAGCUCAACUGGAAACAACUUCUUCACCCUCGAACAAUAACUCAUAUGGAAUUUUUUAAGAGAAGAGAAGAUGGCAGGUGGUGUUGGAGCAUGAGAGGUAGAUUCAAUUUCAACCACUACUCCUAUUCCUACUCUCACAACUUCACGCAAGUUUCUCAACAAAAAUAGGCGUAACUCCUCAAUGUUGUCAAGUGCGUCACAAGACGAUAAUGACAAGUCAACCACACACUCUAUCCCUCUACAGUUCGUAAUUUGACAUUCCUUCCACUCAGUCACCUUACGAAACAAAGGAAUGUUGUUUAAACAUUUGAAAUCAUCGUACUUUUGAAUAGUUAAAGUUUGAAGGUCAUGUGGGACCACCCUAUCAUCACACCUCUCUAUCUCCGAACCUGUGAAUGUAAUCUGUUUCUUAAUUUUUUUGAAAUUUGGGCAACCCCAUAAAUCAAAACGCCAAUCCACCGAUGGUCCCCCCACUUGAAAAAAGAAAGAUGUAGGGCAUUUACCUUGUGUACACUCUGCGUAUUUAUUAAACUCUUGCACGUUGCGAAAUGAACAUUGAACCCACUCAAGCUUCCUCAAUUGGCCUACUUCUUCUCCCUUUAAAAACGUCUUCUCUAUUAUUAAGCAUUGGAGAUGACAGAUCCUCGGUAAUAUUCCUACCGGUAGCUCUUUUAAAGCCGUUGACCCCAUAAGAAGAUCUCUCAAGUUUUCUAACAUCUCUAUGCCAUGAGGAACCUCUUCAAUUCCUGUGCCCAAAAGGUUCAACUUUCUUAGUGCUGUGAGCUCUACUAAGGAAGGCACCUUUUUUAACUCCUCACAACCAGAAAGUAUCAAUGCAUUGAGAGUUUUCAAGUUAGAGAUCGAAUUGGGCAGAUAUUCUAAGGAACGAUUAUCUGAAAGAUUUAGAACUUUUAACCCAGACAUGUGCUUAAAAAAAGAUUCUGAAAUCCUUUCUAAGCCACAAUGUUCCAAAAUCAAAGUUGAUAAAUGAGGCCAUCUAGGUGAUAUGUGAGGAGGAAUUUCUAAUUUAAAAGUUUCCAUCAAGGAAACUUUCUCAACACUCACUGUCCAUUCUUGCUCACUUGGGAAUUCUUUCAAUGGCAUACCUGCUUUUCCCAUGAACUGAUGACCUGCAAUAUACAACGCCAUGUCCCUCAAAACAUCAUGCAUCUUAACUCCAUCAUUAUCAAUAAGAAAUGUAGCCCUCUCUAAUAGGCAAUUACUUUCAAGCUUAUUUAAAAUGCUAUAACCUCUAUGAUGCAUUGCUUCUUUGGUCUGUAAGCCAUCAAGGAGUCCCUCAUCUAUCCAAUUUUCAAUUAAUUCCACUUUUCUAAUUAUAUAAUCUUCAGGAUAUAGGGAGCAAUAUAAGAAACAAUUUUGGAUUUUUGGAUCUCUCAAAUGGUCAUAACUGAACUUCAAAGGCUCAUAUACUUCGAUAUCCAAUUCUUUCACACUUUCCACACGCUCUUCUAAUUCAAUUAGUGCAUUCUUCCACUCACAAAAAUCAUCUACCUCUUUCAUGCUACCGGCUAUUGUCACAAUACUAAGUGGUAAACCGCCACAUUUCUCAACAAUUUUGUCGACAAUGUCCUUUAAAUUUUGAUCUUGUACAACUCUACGCCCCACGUGAUCUAAGAAUAAGUUCAUGGACUCAUUCUUUGGAAGCAGUUGCACUUUGACCACCUCACAACCCAUAGACUUACAGACCUCAAUCGAUCUGCUAGUGAGUACAACUUUCCUUCCCAUACCUAAUGUUGGUUCAAGGAUUCCCAAAUCUAAUAGAGAAAAUCGUUUCCAAACAUCAUCUAAGAUCAACACAUAUCUCUUUUCCUCCAAAAUAUCCUUUAAUUUUGCAGCUCGUUGCAAUACAUCCGUUGGAAGAGCUUGUUUCAAAGAAUUUGCAAUAUCUUCUUGCAAUUUGAAAAUAUUCAAUUCUUUUGAUACGGUGACCCAUAUCACUUGAUCAAACAGAUUAUCCUUCAACAAUUGAUUAUUGAUAUGCUUCAUAAUGGUAGUUUUCCCUAUGCCACCCAUUCCACAUACUCCAAUCAUUCUAACCUUAUCACCCAUCAAAUACUUCCAAAUUUGUUCUUUUACAUCGAUUUCACCUUCUAGAUUUGGUGUUAGUAAUGUCACCCCAGUGGCUGGAGGCCCAUCAACUGCCACACCAUCAGGGAAACUACCUUGUUGGUAAAUUUUGUUUACCUUUUCAAUAUUUUCGCAAACAAAACUUCCUAGAUGACCACGUGACAAGAAUGAAACAGAACGGAACUCCUCUUCGAUGGUUUUCACUUCAUUGCCUACAUUUUCUACAUCUUUGAGCCAGUUCGCCACUUCUUUCUUCAUCUUUUUCCCACAACGUUCCUCUGCUUCCAUUUUUAAUUCAAGGUCUCGCUUUCGAGAAUUUAGACUAUUUACAUUUCCUCGAAGCUCAUUCAUAUAAUCUUCAAGUUUCCGAUGAUGAUUUAUGUAUGGACCCCCAAAGCUCCUUAUCACUUCAACAAAUGACAAUAUCCAAUCCAUAUUAUAAGCUCACUGCAAUUUAAAAACCCAACGUAUGUUAAGAUUCUUGCUUCACUUGUUAUGUUUGAGUAUAACAAAGAUAAAAUUGUUAAUGAAGCUUUGUUUCAAUGGUAAGGAAGAUGUGUAAGUUCGAUAUUACUUUUAUGCUAGUUAUUUAUUUAUUUAUUUUAUUGAUAAUUUGUUCAUUAUUUUUUACACUGAACGUAAUCAUUUGUUUUAUUAUGACUGUAAUUUGUACUUGUUCAUGUAAUAUAAAAAAAUAUAUAUAUAAAAAAGCAUUUUUGUUUUUAACUAAAAUUCUGAAUUUCUGGUGUUUGAUUAAUUAGUAAUGAGUUGUUUAAUUACUAUAUUUCUUAAAUUCUGUUUUAGAAUAUCGGGUGAAGCAUCUGUAAUACUUUUAUAAACCAUUACCAAAUGUUUUAUUCCUUCUACCUUAUUUUUUAUAUUUUCCUUCAAAAUUUCCUUAAUAUUCCACUUUCAAGCAAAACUAAGUAAAUAUAAACCAUAAAUAAUUAAUAAAUGAUUUAUUUUUCUUUCUCCCCUGUUGAUAACUAUCAAAAAUUCUUGGAUAUUAAUUACAUCAUCAAUAAAAGGAGGGAUAAAGAAGAAACACUAAUUUUCAAUAAAGAUAAACAUCAAAGGCACUAAAGAAUAUUAAUUAAUAUUUUUUUGAACAGUUCUAAAAAAUUUCAAUUAUGGAUUAAUAUAAUCUAAAUAUAAGUAAGGAAGUUUGUGAAAACAACAAUAUAUCCCACAAAGACAUUAAGAAAUAAUUGCAGGAAUAAAUUGUGAGAGUAAUGACCUUCAGGAUAUAUACCUGGCUUGUUCUUCAAAUUAUUCGGAAAGAUGAAACCCAAAGGUCAGUUAAAUGAUCCACAAACCUCCUUGUCUCUUUGUUAAGCACAACCUUCUUAGGCAGAAGAAAGAAGCUGGCAUAAAAUUAACAAGGAAAAUUAGUAGUGUUAAUAAAAGUGAAAAUCUAAUGUGGUAUAGUCUUCAGAGUUAUUUGCCUAAAUAAGAAAAUAGAGGACACAAAACAAAGAACCAAAAUAAUUAAGUGGAAGGAAAGAUGAUGAAUUUAAGAUUCCAGAAAACAUGAACCCAAAUCUAUAUUAAACAGUUUAAUUACCUGGUCAAGUGAGGUAGAUGAGGUGGUACUUGUAUCCUUAGAGGGUCUUAAGUCUGUGAAAGCAGGAAACUAAGAUCUCUGUUAAAUUUGUGAAGAAAACAGCAACAAGCAGAUCUCCUCCCAAACUAUUAUCUAUGAGAAGAAAAUGAAUAAUGAAGCACAUGAAUUAUUGAAAAGUGGACAAGGUAAAUAUUUAUGUGGAAACUAAAAUAAAUGCCCAACUUGUGUUGGAAGGUAUGGUAAGAUGAAUUUAUGUCAUAAGUUAAGAUUCUGAUUAAUUACUGCUACCAAAGAUAAACAUAAAUCACACAAAUAUAAACAGUUUACCUGGUUCACGGAGACAGUGAACUGAUUCUUCUGUCGUUAGAAGGUCUUUGUUAAAUUUGAGAAGCAAGCACACUCAGGAAAUAUAGCAGCAAUAAGCAGAUGAUCUCCGUGAGAAGAGAAUCGAUGAAUUGUGAAGCUAAAAGAAUUAAGAGCUGGCAAGUCAAUGCAAAGUCGUCGCACAAAUUGUACAUUCACUUUCCUUGAAGUUGUUUCACAGUAAUGCAAAUGUAAAUUCACUUUCCUUGAAGUUGUUUCACGGUAAUGCAAAUGUGAAUAGAAGAAAAACUGACAAAGUAGGACUGAAUUAUGGGGCCACUUGUCCUACUUUCCACUCCUUCAUUAUUGUCCUUCUUGUCUUCUGUUUGGCAAUAAUGCAAGUAUGAAUUUAACAGAUGCCCUGGAUUAAGAAACUUAUAACUUUAAUAGAAGUUUAUAAUUUAAGAAGUGAAUUAGUCUAACCAAAAAACUGAACAAUUAUUUUUUUGUUGCUGAUAACAAAGGUUUGAUUAUACACAGAAUGUAAUAAGUUAUGAUCUCCUAAAUUUAGUCCAUCUUAUAAGUGCUUGAAUUCAUAUAUACUAAUGUCCUCAGUCUUGAAUUCUUUUCUUAUUGCUGAUAACAAUGGUUUACUUAUGUUCAGAAUGAAAUAGGUUAUGAUCUCUUAAAUGGAGUCCAUUUUAUAAGGAGACAGGAAAGAAAGAGCCCUGUGUUUGAUGGCAGUGAGGCAACCAGAUUGAUUUUCCACUAAUUAGCCACAUCAGAUUACUAUGUAUAGCCACUAAGUCAAGUGAAGCAACGAUCUCCUAUCAAGAAAAUAACAAACAGCACAUCUCCUGGCAAAUUAACUCAUCUAUAAUGACAAGAGAAUGAAUUAAUAAUUUAAAAGUGGGCAAGUCAAUGCAAGUCAUGAUGUUGGUUUCGGGGUCACUUCCCUUAAAGCUGCUUUAAAAUAAAGCAAAUAGGAAUCGAAUAAAAGAUGAUAACGUGAGAGUGAAUACUGCUUCAUAUUUCUUAAAGACACAAUCAUGUAAGCUAUUUCGUUCAGUGCCUGGAUCAUAUGUAUGCACAUGUGCAUGCAUAGGACCAACUUUAAAACGAGCCCUGUCAAUCAUAGAUUAUAUCAUUCGUGAUAUAAUCUGAUGAAUAACAGGUGAUAUAAUCUGAUGAAUAACAGGUCAUUGCCAAUAUCACAAGAGUUAUUGAUAAAAACUAAAACUUGGGAAAUGUUGACAAGUAUUUGUAUAUUUAUACUAUACACAGAAAAGACUCAAGAAGGUCUUUGUUAAAUUUGAGAAACAAGCACAGUCAAGAAAAAUAGCGGCAAUAGCAACAAGCAGAUGAUUUCAGUGAGAAGAGAAUCCAAUAAUUAUGAAGCAAUAAGAAUUACAAGUCAGCAACUCAAUGCAAAGUCGUCGCAGAAGCUGUAAAGUAACUUCCCUUGAAGCUGUUUCACAAUACUGCAAAUGUGAAUUGAAGAAAAACUGACAAAGUAGGACUGAAUUAUGGGGCCUACUCUCCUCCAUCAUUGUCCUUCUUGACUUCUGUCGCGAUAAAGAAAAUAUGAAUUGAACAAAAACUGACAGACUAGUAUUAUUGUCCUCGCAACUUUCUUUCACAAGGGCACCCAUUUUUAUGUCCUAAGGCAAAGACCAAAAUUAUCUGGGAACAAUCAAAGAAAGUUGUAUGUCCUUUGCUACUUGCUAGCUAUCUUGACUAAUAUUGUAUGUAACACUUAUUAUUUUCUAUAAAUUUUUACAUAAUAACAAAUUUGAUGUAAAGUUCAUUAGUUAAUGGUACGUUAAUUCACUUGAUCGAUAACUAAUUAAAAUGUGAAAAGUGUAAUUUUAUUAAUUCCGUAGAAUUAUUUUAGUGAAGUUUCUAAGUAUAUCAUCUAAUCCGGUAUCUAGCAUCAUUAUUUCUACUUUUUUUUUUCCUUUUGUAUAAGUAUAUCGAUAACCAACAAUUAUUUUCAGGGUUGUUUAACAUACUAUGGCCACUGUCAUGCAUUGCUAUGUCUAGUCUAUAAUUCAUGGAGGAAUCCCUCCUCGGUUCAUUUCUCUAUUUUACUCUAUUCUUUCAAUUUUGCAGUCUUCAUGAUAUAAGAAGCAAUAGAAAAAAUAAUUUUGGAAUUUUGAGUCUUCCAAAUGAUCAAAAUUACACACACUACAACAAAUUUGACUUAAAACAGCACAUUUUAUAAAUGUGUUACUAAAAAUAUUUUUAAUAACACUUUUUUUAUGUUUUUUAGAACAGCUUUUUAGAUCUAAUUUUACUAUAUACAUUUUUAGAUGCAUUAUCAAUAAAAUGUAACAAUAGAAAUUAUAUACACUAACAAAUGUUGCAUUUUACUGUACAAAAAAUAUAUCGUCCAAACAAGUGUGGUUAAAACUUAAUUUUUUUGCUAUUACAUCAAACACUCAAAUAUUUCAACAUCUUAUCUUCUCACACUUUUGACCCGUUAAUUCAUUUAAUGCAUCCUUCCACUCACAAAUAUAUGUCAUUUACUCCAUGCUACCUAAUAUUGUCAGAAUGGCGUGUCUUUGCCAAAUACUUCUAAUAGGCCCUAACUGAUUAGGCAAAACAUAUCUUCAAAUUGGAAUAAUUAAGGGAUUGGACUUAUCUACAAGAACCAACAUCUGAAGUUGCAAGGAAUAUAAUCUUACUCCAAAAUGGAAUUUGUAAUUAUAGAGUCUUACAAAUGCUAAUUACAUAGCACAAAUUAAUGAUCAGAUAAUGCAGUCUUCCUAGAUGGAUGAUUUGAAUAUGAGAAUUAUGAGCUGAGUACAGUGGAGAUUUUUCCUCACAUUUUUCUAUAAUAUUAUUUAUGAGCAGCCUUAGCUUCAUAUAUUAUCAAUUAGUGCAUGGGAAGCUUUGAAGAACAUUAUGAGACAAUUAGUAAGUAUUCAUAACUAUAUAGAAAAGAAAGGAUAGCUUCUAUAUGAAGCAUUUUGCUUGCAAAAUACAUGCAGGGUGCCACAUGAUUGGAUAUUUCAGUUGUAUGGAUAUUUGAAGUCCUAGGAUAGCAAUUGUUUGGGAAGAAAGAAUUUCUGAGAAACUUUCCUCAAUGUUGACAGGGACUUUUCAUAUCAUCUGUUAUGACAAUUUGACUUCCACUAACCCUCACCACUUUCCCCAUUUUUUUGGGUAAUAAAAAGAAGUUGAUUUUUUCCAACUUAAAUUGAGGUAUUUGACAGGCUACUGAUGAUCUAAAAGACUUCACUAUCCAAUUGCAUGGGCCUCAGGGCACAAUUUGAACAUCAAAUACAAAAUUCAACCUGGUUGAGCUCCCAACUGUGUAAAGAAAAAAUCAAUUAAAUAUUGUUCAAUUCUUGCUUGUAACGUCUGCAGAUUGUAUAUGAGACUGAUGGAGUAAUAAAUAUGUCUAACCCAGAGAAAUCAUGGAUUAAUCAACUCGUUCUUUUAAAAGGGAAGGCAUCACAUUAGUUCAUCUACUAACUAAACCUUUACAAGCGGAAUAUUGGAUUAAAGUUAAAACAAGGGAUCUCUCUUUGAUAUAAACUAGUCCUAAAGAAUUUAUAGGAUAAUUGAGAGAUUGAAUACUGAAAUUGAAGAAGUCCAAACUUUUGUUUGGCAUAUAUUCAUAAACCAGCAUCUUUUCCUCUCCUUCAAUGCAACAUCCCAGGAGCUUUACAAGAUUUCGAUGUUGAAGCUUGGCAAUUAGUGCUACUUCAUUUUUGAACUCAGUUAAACCUUGUCCAGAGCUUCUUGAAAGCCUCUUCACAGCGAUCUCUUGUCCAUCUACCAGGUUACCCUGAAAAAAAUGUACUUUAAAGAGUUGUAACUUUGUUCUAAACAUACUUCAUACUUUGUCUUCUGAUCAAUUUCACCAGAAUGUUGCAAAUUUACCCUGUAUGCAUGCCCAAAACCACCUUGUCCUAGUUUGUUGUCAAUGGAGAAAUCAUUGCUUGCUUCGGAUACUAAUGAUAAGUCGAAUAACUGGACUUCUGAGUCUUCGCUUUGCCCUUCAGUGCUCCUGUCCUUUAUCACAUGGUUUUCUCUAGCCCCUGAAACAUUUUAGUACAUACUAACAUUAGCCAUAGAAGGCUAUAUCAUGUUGGUCAAUUGUAUUUCUGAACAGACUAGGGAAGUUGGUAAUUAGUAUUCUAAAACAUAGUGAAAACAUGAUUUGUGAAAGCAAAUGGAUCAGAUAGUGUUACCUUAUAAACAGCUCCAAAACCACCUUCCCCUGGCUUGUUGUCCAUAGAAAAGCUAUGAGUAGCAAGCGCAAAUAUUGCAAGCUCCAAGUCUUCAUCCAGGCCUUGAUUUUCUGAAUCAUUUUCCUUAUUGUUUUCUGUUUCUCUGAAAUAGUAGUCAAAAUAGGCUUUUUAUUCACCAUAAAAUAUGCAUUCUAAUUGAGCUAGAUAACUGAACAUAAAACUCAUUUUUCACACCAAUAAGCAUUGAAAACUACUUAUUUUUUGAGAAAAAAAAAACAUUAUUCCAAUGAACUGGCAAACAAUCUAAUUUACUUCUUUUGAAGAAACUGCAUGUGGAUAAGUGGAUUAGGUAGCAUCACUAUUAACAAGGUAAUUUUUUUUGUUUAUUUAGCUAAGGAAUUGAAUGACAUAUUUGUGAAGGAUAUGUCAAAAUUACCUUUCAACUUUCUGCGGACUCUGUAAAUGUAAUAACUGAUUAUAAACAGCCCCAAAAGUGCAACACAGCGGUUUUGCAAUAGAUGCAACAAGCUUCAACCUUGGCUUAUCGCAUCCAAGCUUGGCUUUCUGCAUUCCAUGUGUAGCCUUGUAUCAUCAGUUUGGUUAGGAGCAAGUCCUGUGAUCAAUGAUUUCUAUUUGAGACAUUUUGGAUGGUUGACAUAUAAAAUACAAACACCAGGUGGGUUGAUCAUGCAUUGUUUUUAUGAGAUGAUGUGAUUGACUGACUCUUGAUCAAUGAACUGUACACAAAGUGCAGCAGAAAACAAUUUAUAAACAUUGAGAUUCCAGAUAAUUACUUGUAUUGAAUAAUUUCCAAUUCAUCAACCAUUUCACACCAGUAGACAUUUUCAUUAAAAGCACAAGGCACAAGCAUCAGCUGGGAAUGCAAUUACUUGAUUAUUAAAACAUAACUCAAAGCAUAGUCUUACGAACAGUAUAUAAACAGAGUUUGUAGCAUGGGAGAUGUGAGGAUACAACUCCCUAACCAACCUUUAACAUCGAUAUGGUUAUUUCAUUCUACAUGCCCACAGCAAAUGGAAAAGGAAACAAUAAUGUCUAAUCAAUCUUACUUGUUCAACAAGGAUUUGAAGGAUAACAGCUAAAUCAAUAAAUUGGCGUUGAAUUAAGUUAUAAGAUUUUGAUCACAAACAGAGGAAGUCCUCUCAUAAAUGAAUCAAACAAUAUUUAUGGCAAGUGAGGCAUGCUUGGUGCUGUUAAAGAUUUGCUUAUGAUUGAAUAAUCCUAUUAACUACUAACUUGUUCAUAAUGUUUUUAAACUAGCAUUUUUUAAAUAAUGCUAGUUUAAAAUAUGACCAUAUAUAUAUAUAUAAGAAAAAGAAUACUAUGGACCCUAAAUAUUACUUUAAUCAUUUUAUUAUAUCUUUUAACAUUUUAAUUCAUAAUAAUUUAAAGAUUUUAUUUACGUGUUAGAGUUCUCUUAUUAUUUUAUUUAUGUAUAUAGAUUUUUUUUCUUUUUAAAUUUGAAAAAAAUUUCAAACCUGGCUUGUAAUAUGUCAGUGAAAAAGAAAAUAAAGGGAUGUAGGCAAAGAGCUUAAUUAACUCUUUUGAAGAAACUGCAUGUGGAUUUGCUAGCAUCAAUAUUAACAAAGUAAUUAUUUUUUUGUUUAUUUAGCAAAGAAGCAAAAUAAGCAUAUUUGUUAAGGGUAUAUCAAAGUUACCGUUCAACUUUGCAUUGCCUCUGUAAAGGUAAUGACCGACUGUAUACAACCCCGAAAGCACAGCAUAGUGGUGUUGCAAUUACUGCAGGAAGUUUUAUCCUAGGCUUAUCUUUCAAUUCUGUAUGGCGAAAUUUGAUAAGGAAAAGCAUACAUGAACAAAAAUGAAAAAAGCAGCGAAAACAAGAGAAAAUGCAGACUCAUACCUGAUUCUGAAGCAGACACUCUUAACAUAUAGAUCCUGCCCUUUUGAUUCAAAUUGUCUGCAAUCAAUCAGAUUAUCAAACCAAAGGGCCCAACCACUACCUCUUCCUCUAUUAUCUGAACUAGUGUAUGCCAUAUAGGAAUAGUUCUGUAGAUACUUAGCCCUGCAUCCCUUGAGAUUCAUAGUUUUAGUCACCCAAGAAUGUGUAGCAUCUGGCAUUUUUAAAUCCUUUAAAUCUAAUAAAUCCAUCUCUGCUUUGGCAGUUGAAUGGCUUGUUGUGCUUACACCCUUGGCACCAGUCUGAUGAGUUCUGUCUUUUAGGGAAUUCAGGCUUAAACAUCAGCUUUCAGGGAAUUAAGGCUUGAAUCCUUUAAAAAGUGGAAGCUGAGCACCAUCACAAUUCCCUUUUGAACCACAAAGUCCAUAUCUAUCAAAGUAGUCUCUUGAAGCAAAUGACAGAAGCAUCCAAGCUUGCUUUCUGCAUUUCAUGUGUAGUCCUGUGAUCAAUGAUUUCUAUUUGAGACACUUUGGAUGGUUGACAUAUCAAAUAGAAAUGCCAGGUGGGUAGAUCAUGCGUUGUUUUUAUAAGAUGAUGUGAUUGACUGACUUUUGAUGAAUGAAGCAUACACAAAGUGCAGCAGAAAACAAAUUAUAAACAUUGAGCUUCCAGAUAAUUUGUAUUUCUCAAUAAUAUGAAGCUUAUUCCUCUAAUCAUUCUCUUCAUUGGACGAACAUAACUUCAAUGACUUACUUGUAUUAAAUGAUUUCCAAUUCAUAAACCAUUUGAGACUUUUUUUUCUCACAUCUGAUAGGUUGCAGGAUAGUCCCAAGAAUUGAUCACCAAGUUCAACAGGGUGCCUUCCUUCCUCCCAUAAUCUCCGAGCCUGCAGCAAAUUGAAAACCUUUUAGUCAUUUUAUUAUAUCUUUCAACAUUUUAAUUCAUAAUAAUCGAAGUAUUUUAUUCAAGCGUUAGAGUUUUAUUUAUAGUAGUAAUUAAUUAUUAUUAUUAUUUUUGUAGAUAGAGUGUGUUUUUUUUUCUUUCAAAAUUUGAAAAAAAUUAAAACCAAGUUUGAAAAAUGUGAGUGAAAAUGAAAAUAAAGGAAAGAGAUGGGCAGGUGUAAUAGGAGGGGAUGUAGGAGGUGUUAGAUGGCAAUUGGUGGAGAAAUGCAGAUUGAAGGGUGUUGAGUUUUAGAUUUUGGUAUUAUUCAUAAAACUAAAGACUUGGUUUUGUUUUGAUAUUAAAAAAAAGUAAUUAUUUAGCAAAUGAGAAAUUAAGAGAUAAAAACUCACAAUUAAUGUUUGUGGUUCUUAACAAGAAGCAAGAGCCUUAUAGCCACAUUUAAUCAAACACCUCUUCUCCAUCUCACUCUACCAAUCAAAAUAUCGAAGAAAGGGAGAAAGGACAUUCUUAGUGUGCUAUCCAACAACCCACAUCUGAUGUGAAUGCGAUUGUUAAGACCUAUAUAACAAUUCAAGUUCACCAUUACUAGCAACUUGAGCUUAAACUUUUGAGGGCUACGUGGUUUAGGCCCAAAAAGUUACUAGGCCAAUGGUUGGACUUGGGUCGUUACAAAUGGUAUCAGAACUUGCACCAGUCCGAUGUGAACUUUCACAUUGCUCUGGUGAGAUCUUGGUCCCGUGGAUGUGAUGUGUGGCCUUGAUGAGGACAUCAAGGAUUUGAGUGGGUGGGAUUGUGAUAUCCAACAUCCUACAUCUGAUGUGAAUGUGAUUGUUAAGACCUAUAUAACAAUCCAAGUCCACCAUGGACUUGGGUCGUUACACUUAGCAUCAAGUUGAUCCCAUUCCACUGAUUCCCACCAUUCUCUCGGGCCUAUUCUAAUAUAUUCUAGAGAAGGAGGAGAUGGUUUCCCAUUUUCAACAAGGGGAAGAGACAAAGGGAUCCUCUUUACUUCUGGACAUCUCUCUAUUUGAAGAUAUUGGAGAGAAUCUGCAGGAAUCAUAAGUCCACCACUGUAAAUGCUUUUCAGUUUUGGUAAAUUUCCCAAGAUUAAUGAUUUUAAUUUGGGAAGAAUAAAUGUUGUUCCUUCUUCUUUGUGAUUUUCUUCUAACGCUAUUAUUUCCUCCAUUUCUUCACAACAUUCAACGAAAAUUUUCUCUAAGUUUGGGAGGCCUUGCAACUGCUCAACUGGAAACAACUUCUUCAUCUUCGAACAAAAGCUCAUCAUCAAUAAUUUAAGAGAAGAGAAGAAGGUAGGUGGUGUUGGAGCAUGAGAGGUAGAUUCAAUUUCAACCGCUACUCCUACUCGUACUCUCACAACUUCACACAAGUUUAGCAAGUCAAGUAGUUGUAGCACCUCAAUGUUGUGAAGUGCGUUGCAAGACGGUAAUGACAAGUCAACCACACACUCCAUCCCUUCACACUCCGAAAUUUGACAUUUCUUCAAGUCAGGUGCCUUACGAAACAAAGGAAUGUGGCUUAAACAUUUGAAAUCAUUACACCUCGCAAAACAAAAAGUAUGAAGGUCAUUUGGGAGCAUUAUUUCAUCACACCUCUCUAUCUCCAAAUUUGAGACAUCAACCAUUUUCUCAAUUUCUUUGAAAUAUGGGGAAUGCAUAAUAUGAAUAUUACUAGGUGGUCCCACUUGAAAAAUGAAAGACAUAGGCCAUUUACCUUGUGUAGACUCUGCAUAUUUCUUAAACUCUUGCAUGUCACAAAUGAACAUAAAACACACUCAAGCUUCCUCAAUUUGCCUACUUCUUCCCCCCUUAAAUUUAACUGUACUAGUAAGCAUUGCAGAUGAGAAAUCUUCAGCAAUAUUCCCAUUGGUAGCUCCUUUAGAUCGCUUGACCGUAGACCAAAAUAUCUAAGGUUUUGUAACAUUUCUAUACCCUGAGGUAACUCUUCAAUUUUUGUAUUCCAAAGGUCCAAGUUUCUCAGUGCUUUGAGCUUUGCUAAUGAAGGCACAUAUUCUAACCUGAGACAAUAAGCAAGCAUCAAUGCAUUGAGAUUUUUCAAGUUAGAGAUGGAAUUAGGUAAAUCCACAAUCUCAUGAUUACGAGAAAGAUCUAGAACUUUUAGCCCAGGCAUGUGCUUAAAGAAAGAUUCUGGAAUUCUUUUUAAGCCACAUUGUUGCAAUAUCAAAGUUGACAAAUGAGGACAUUCGGGUGAUAUGUGAGGAGGGAUUUCUAUUAAUUUUGAAUUUUGCAUCAAAGAAACCUUUUCAACACUCACUGUCCAUUCUUGCUCACUUGGUAGUUCCUCCAACUGCACAUUGGCUUUUACUAUGAACUGAUGACCUUUAAUAUACAAUGCCAGGUCUCUCAAAACAUUAUGCAUCUUAACUCCUUUGUCAUUCCAAGUUGUAGCCCUUUCUAGCAAGCAAUUAUUUUGAAGCUUAUUUAAAAUGCUAUGGCCUCUAUCAUGCACUUCUUGUCUAGUCCUUAAGCCAUCAAGGAGUCCUUCAUCUAUCCAAUUUUCAAUUAAGUCAACUUCUUCAAUCACAAAAUCUUCAGGAUAUAAGGAGCAAUAUGAGAAACAAUUUUGAAUUUUUGGAUCUUUCAAAUAGUCAUAACUGAACUUCAAACGCUCAAAUAUUUCAACAUCUGAUCCUUUCACACUUUUCACACGCUCUUCUAAUUCAGUUAAUGCAUUUCUCCACUCACAAAUAUCAUUUACCCCCUUCAUGCUUCCAGCUAUUGUGACAAUGUUAAGUGGUAAACUGCCACAUUACUCAACAAUUUUGUUGACAAUGUCUUUUAAAUUUUGAUCUUGUACAACACUAUGCCCCACAUGUUUUAAGAAUAAGUUCGUGGACUCUGUCUUUGAAAGCGGUUGCACUUUGAUCACCUUACAAUCCAUAGAUUGAUAGACCUUAAUCGAUCUGCUAGUGAGUACAACUUUCCUCCCCAUAUCUAUUAUUGGUUCAGGGAUACCCACAUCCAAUAGAGAAAACCGUUUCCAAACAUCGUCUAAGAUCAAAACAUAUCUCUUUCCCUCCAAAAUAUCUUUUAAUGCUGAUGCUCGUUGCAAUUCAUCAUCUUUUAAAAGAGAUUGUUUCAAAGAAUCUGCAAUAUCUUUUUGCAAUCUAAAAAUAUUCAAUUCUUUUGAUACAGUGACCUAUAUCACUUUAUCAAAGUUCUCACUUUCCUUUAACAAUCGAUUGUUGAUAUGCUUCAUGAUGGUAGUUUUCCCUAUACCACCCAUUCCACAUACUCCAAUCAUUCCAACCUUAUUACCCAUCAAAUACUCCCAAAUUUGUUCUUUUACAUCGAUUUCACCUUCUAGAUUUAGUGUUGGUAACAUCACCCCGGUGGUUGGAGGCCCAUCAACUGCCACACCGUCGGGGAAACUACCUUUUUGGUGAAUUUCCUCUACCUUUUCAAUCAUUCGGCAAACAAAUUUUCCAAGACGACCACGUAAGAAGCAUGAAAUAGCAUGGAACUUGGAUUCAAUCUUUUCCAUUUCAGUGUUUACCUUUUCUACAGCUUCAAACAAGUACUCCACUUCUUCCCUCACCACUUUUCUGUGACGAAGCUCCUCUUCCUUUCUUGAUAUGAGGUCUCUUUUUUGGAUAUUUAAAACAUUCACUUUUUCUCGAAGAUCAUUCAUAUGUUCUUCAAGUUUUCGUUGAUGGUGUAUAUAUGUACAGGUUGGACCACCAAAGCACUUUAUCACUUCAAAAAUUGGCCCUAUAAGCUCCAUAUAAGCUAUUCCCUAGAGAUUAAAAACCAAGAUAUAUUAGAUCUCCAUAUGACAUAAGCUACUCCGUCCCUCCCUAAACUACAAUUCUAUAUUUUUCAUAUAAUAUAGAAUAUGUUAGAAAAAAAUGUUACUAAUUAAAAUUUUUUUACCAAUUCUUAAGAAAAAACAUAAUAUUUUUGAAAACAUUAUUAAAAACAAGAAGUUUUUGUUUCAUCAUCUUUGAGUAUAAUAUUUACAUUUCCAACAAUAUUUAUAUCUAGAUGAAUGUAUUCAUUUUUCCCCUUAAAAAACCAUCGCAAAUUCUUGAAUAUAUUAUAUCUAUAUGGUUCCUAGUUUUGAUCAUUACAACAUUAAUAAAAGGAUGAUGAGAAUGGAGAAAUCAAUUUACUAUAAAUAUAUAAAUGACAAAAUUUUUUAUAAAAAAAGGAAUCCAUUUAAAGUUGAUAACUUGCGUUUCUAACAUGUAUACAUAUUAAAUAAAUGUACCUGUGAAAGAAUCACAGGUACUAGACGAAAAGUAUCCAGUUCUUUAAUAUAUUUAUUUAAAUUGUAUUAUUCUGUAUGACAGAUUCUCCUUUCAAGUAUUCUGUUAUAAACUUUUGAAAUUAAUCUGAAUUUAUAAUUUACAAAGAGAAAAUUAUGUACCCUAGUCUUGAAAUCUUUCCUUGUUGCCGAUAUAGAAAGAUUUGACAAUGUACAUAAUGACAUGAAGUGCCCUGUUUUUUGAUGGAGCUUUAGCAUCAAACUUCAAUUAGCUGAGUUAACCAGAUUGUUAGUUCCUUGAUUGAUUUUCCAAUUAACGAGCCAUAUCAGAAUAUUAGACUUGAGAAAUGGAAUUUUGACUUCUAAGGUCCUAAAAAAGAUUAAUUCACAAAAUACAUAAAAAUAAAAUGUACAAGAUGACGAUGAAAAUCAUUUGUGUAAAGAUAUUGAUGCUGUAUGACAUAUAAUUUUGCUUUUGGUCAAAUAUUGAAAUAUCGUAAGGAACAACGCGUUGAGCUUCCAACAAUGUGUCAGUCAUUUCAUUGGUUGAAGAAGACUUUAAAUGUUUUAACCCCAAAUUACUAUUCAUAACACGUUUUCAUUAAAUAUAUCAGAGAUCAGCUUUUUUCGUUUUGUCCCAAUUUUCUUGGUUUUCACUUUUCAGUGAAUUAAAGACCUAAAAAAUCUUUGUCAUCAAUGGAUAACAUCAUUGGUGAUUACAUUCGAGCCUUCUAUUAAGUUUAUGUAGCAAAUACAAAUAAGUAAUGGCUUAUCAUGCAUUUUUAGUUUUGUUAUGAUGUGAGGAUUAUAUGAGUCUUCCUCAAUGAAACAUCUGAAAAAGUGCAUGAGAAAAAAAUCAAAACAAUUUACAACUGAUGAGAUUGCACAUUACUCUUUUUUCUGAUUUAUAUGAAGCUUCAGUGCAAUCAUCUUGUCAAUUCUUUGUGAGACAACUAUAGAUAACAGUACCCCCAAAAAGGCACUUGCAGGGUGCUAAGCUUAAACUGGGACUGAACCGUUGGUAUCAAUGCAUAAGGUACAAAACAUACUGAUCAUCCACAGCAUCUAAUAAUGGCUUGGAGAUGAAAGAGUUAAGUAUAUAAUAAUCUGAAAAUUAUAUUUGUUAAUUUUUGUUAAUUGUUAAGUUUAUUUAAAAAUUGAGAUUAUUAUCAUUAUUAAAUUAUUUAUAAUUAUGCUAGUUAAUUCUUUUAAGUAAAUUAUUAAAAAUGAUUCCUUUGAAUAAUUUUCAGAAUUUAUUUAUAUAAUUUUCAUAUAAAUUUUUUCCAUUAAGUUGUUUUAUAUUUUUAGCAAACGUUGGACUUCUCGUUUGAAUGUUUUAUAGACAUUAUCUUCAACUCUUCGCCUCCUCAAACGCCAAAAUACAAACUCAGCCACUGCAUAUAACCACUGCAGAACAUUAUCAAAAGCAAUAAAUAUGUGAGGAUUUGUAGACAUUAUGAAAAUAAAGUGACAUUUACUAAGUACCAACCACUCUUUUUCCCAUCAGUUUGGUCUCCUCCAAAAGUUCUAGCCAGUCCAAAACCUGAAAUUUUUGGAUUCAUAUCACUACCAAUCACAACGUUACUAGCUUUGAGAUCUCUAUAAAUAAAAAAAAACUUUCGAUUUGCUAGCUUUACUAUUAACAAAGUAAUUUUUUUUUUGUUUAUUUAGCAAAGGAACGAAAUAAGCAUAAUUAUGAAGGAUAUAUCAAAGUUACCAUUCAACUUUGCACGACCUCUGUAAAGGAAAUGACUGACGCUAAACGGCCCGAAAAGCACAACACAGUGGUGUUGCAAUUAAUGCAGGAAGUUUUAUCCUAGGCUUAUCUUUCAAUUUUGUAUGAUGAAAUUCGAUAAAGAAAAGCAUACAUGAAGAAACACAAAAAAAGCUGCGAAAUCAAGAAAAAAUGUAGACUCAUACCUGAUUCUGAAGCAGACACUUUAACAUAUAGAUCCUGCCCUUUUGAUUGAAAUUGUUUGUAAUCAAUCAAAUGAUGAAACCAAAGGUCCCAACCACUGCCUCUUCCUCUAUUAUCUGAACUAGUGUAUGCCAUAUAGGAAUAGUUCUGUAGAUACUUAACCCUGCAUCCCUUGAGAUUCAUAGUUUUAGUCACCCAAGAAUGUGUAGCAUCUGGCAUUUUCAAAUUUCUUAAAUCUGAUAAAUCCAUCUCUGCUUUGGCAGUUGAAUGGCUUAUUGUGCUUACACCCUUGGGACCAGUCUUAUGAGUUCUAUCCUUCAGGGAAUUCAGGCUUAAACAUCAUCUUUCAGGGAAUUAAAGCUUGAAUCCUUUAAAAAGUGGAAGCUGAGUACCAUCACAAUUCCCUUUUGAACCACAAAGUCCAUAUCUGUCAAAGUAGUCUCUCGGAGCAAAUGAGGAAAGCAUCCAAGCUUGCUUUCUGCAUUUCAUGUGUAGUUAUGUUAUCAAUUAUUUCCAUUUGAGACACUAUGGAUGGUUGACACAUAAAAUAGAAAGACCAGGCUGGUCGAUCAUCCGUUGCUUUUAUAAGAUGAUGUGGUUGACUGACUUUUGAUGAAUGAAGUAUACACAAAGUGCAGCAGAAAACAAAUUAUAAACGUUGAGGUUCCAGAUAAUUCGUAUUUCUCAAUAAUAUGAAGCUUAUUCGUCUAAGCAUAAUAUAUAUAUUUAGAGUAACCACACUAAUCAUAUCAACUUAAACUUACUCAUAAUUUGCAUGCAACAUAAAAUCACCAAAUCUUAUAUAGAUAAUUUAAACUAUUAAUCUUGUUUAAUUAUAUAUGUAUUCAUCAUUUGAAGUGCUUUAAAAUAUUAAUCAUGAUUAAUUUCAAUAUCUUGGUAUUGAUACAUCACUUCCCAAAUAUGCUUUCCUUUUUUCUUUUUUUCCAUAUAUAGACACUCUUUAAUUAGGAGAUUGUAGCCAGCUAGAUACCAUUGUUGCCAGUCCAAGAGGUGACACUUUGGAGGUUGAAUAGCAUUUUAUUUUCGGGUUUUUUAGUCUUGAGAUGAGUGGCAACAUUAAUUCCUUUGGAUCUGUUGAAUUAGCUUUUGUAUAUAAAAGAAGGUAUCCCUCCUCAAACAUGGCAGAUCCCCUUUCAAACCCAUUAUUUUAAAGAAAAGAAAAUGCUAAUUUAAUAGAAUAGUUGCCAACUAGGGACAAGCUCCAUUGAUGUGACAUUAAUUUUGGUAUAUUCUAACACUUGUUGACUAGAUUCAAUUGGACAGGAUUUUUAAUUUGGAUGAAAUUUAAGGGUAGUGAUUAAACAAUGGAAGUGACAUUGGAGGUUCUAAGUCCCUUUCACCUAAGGGAGAAAUGAGUUUGUUCAAUUGACACAGCUUUGGUACAUACAGAAAGUAAGCUAAUACCAUAGCCAUAUUUCUCAGGUGACUUGCAACAAAUUUGAGACUGAAGUAUGGCAAAAUAUUGGGUAUUUGUAUAAAUUACAAUACAAAUAAAGAAAAAAAAUGAAAGAGACUAAAUAGAAAGGGGAAGUGGAAAGGUCCCCAAAAUCAAUUAAUUGCAAGUGGAAGGAGCAAAGCCCAACUUUGUUGGCAACAAGGUCAUGUUCCCGCAGAUGAUUUUGUUGCAGGGUGUUGUAAAUGAUAUUUACUUCCAGGCUCUGUCUUUUGGCAAAUAGAAGCUGAUAAUGGUUCUCUGGAUCAAGCUCAAAUAUAGCUCCAUCUUCAAUAUGAAUUGCAAAUCCUGGCACUGAUGAGAAAAUCAAGCCUUGUUAUUGCUUUUAAUAAAAGCAAAUAAAAUUUGAAGGGUGUUCAGUUGGGCAAUUACUAGUUCCCAAGUAACAGUUUUAACUGCUACUUUCUUUUACCAAAUUCCCAAGAAACUAUUCUUAGAGCUUCUAGGACUAAGGAACAGACUGGGAGGAGGUGAAGAUAUCGAUUCCAUCAGUAAAACAGUGUUGGUGAACAUGAAAGACAGAAUGUCUUUUUGUUUCAAAUUUCAGAGCUUGUAAGAACUCAUAGAAAAACUUUUCAGUUUGGCAGAUUUUAGAGAGCAAACAUGUUUAAACUGAUGAUCGUUGACUAGUAUGCAAGUCUUCCUUGAAAAGACCAAACUUUUCAGUUUGCGGAGAACUCUUAUUUCUAAUUUUUAUGAUGCUUCAGUGUAGUCAUCUUGUAUUGUCUCUGCGAAUCAUAUAUAUAUACAUAUGACCCCCAAGCAGGCACUUGCAGGGCAUUAAGCUCAAACUGGGACUAAACCACUGGUAUCAAAGCAUAAGAGACAUAAACAUACUGGUCGAUAACUUUUAAUAAUGGCUUGGAGAUGAAAGAGCUAAGUAUACAGUUUGUCAAUUAUCGAGCAUCUAGUACUGACAGAGUUAUUUCAUUUGUGGAAGAAGAUACAUGCUUGUCUGAUGAAGAAUCUUCUUCAAGUGGAUUUUUUUAAAACAAAAUACCAGCUUGUUUGGGGUGUGGCAAUUCAGUUUCACUUCCCAACAUCAGAAUCACAAAUGACGUACUUGGCCUCUCCUCAGGAUGCUGUUGUAAACUUAAAAGACUGAUAAUGGAAGUAUUGUAUCACUUCUGAUAGAUUGCAAAGACUCUCCUAAGCAUUCUUCAACAGGUUUUAAAGGACUGUCUUAUUUCCAUAAUCUCCAUGCCUGCAGCAAAUUGAAACCCUUUUAGGUUUUAUCAAUCCAAGAUAAGCAACAAAAAAUUGAUUAUAAAAAUAUCUGCUGAAACUGACAUGUUCAACAAGGUUGCCGCUCUGUGAUGGAUGGUAAAGCCCUCUAUAUUUUCUUCCCACUUAUUAUCUCCAGCAAUAAUAUACCAAAGCUAAAGAGAUCUGAUUUUACUGAAAGCAGUCCAACAAUAGCAUAUUCAGUGCCAUAUAACCUCUGCAGAACAUUAUCAAGAGAAAUAACUAUCUGAGCAUAUGUAGACAUUAUGAAAAUAAAGUGACACUUACUAAGUUCCAACCACUCUUGCAGUGUUCCCUUCAGUUUGGUUUCCUCCAAAGUUCUAAGCAAUCCAAAAUCUGAAAUUUUUGGAUUCAUCUCACUAUCAAGCAGAACGUUACUAGCUUUGACAUCUCUAUGAAUGAAAAAAAACAUAUUCAAAUGAAAUGGCAAAGAAUCUAAUUAACUCUUUUGAAGAAACUGUGUUUGGAUUUGUUAGCAAAGGAACAGAAUAAGCAUAUUUGUGAAGGAUAUAUCAAAGUUACCAUUCAACUUUGCACGACCUCUGUGAAGGAAAUGACUGACAGUAAACAGCCCGAAAAGCACAACACAGUGGCGUUGCAAUUAAUGCAGGAAGUUUUAUCCUAGGCUUAUCUUUCAAUUCUGUAUGAUGAACUUUGAUAAAGAAAAGCAUACAUGAACAAAAACAAAAAAAGCAGCGAAAACAAGAGAAAAUGUAGACUCAUACCUGAUUCUGAAGCAGACAUUAUUAACAUAUAAGUCCUGCUCUUUUGAUUGAAAUUGUCUAUAAUCAAUCAGAUGAUGAAACCAAAGGGCCCAAACACUACCUCUUCCUCUGUUAUCUGAACUAGUGUAUGCCAUAAGGGAAUAGUUCUGUAGAUACUUAGCCUUGCAUCCCUUGAGUUUCAUAGCUUUAGUCACCUAAGAAAGUGUAGCAUCUGGCAUUUUCAAAUCUUUUAAAUCUGAUAAAUCCAUAUCUGCUUUGGCAGUUGAAUGGCUUAUUCUGUGCUUACACCCUUGGGGUCAGUCUGAUGAGUUCUAUCUUUCAGGGAAUUCAGGCUUAAACAUCAGCUUUCAGGGAAUCAAGGCUUGAAUCCUUUAAAAAGUGGAAGCUGAGUACCAUCACGAUGCCCUUUUGAACCACAAAGUCCAUAUCUGUCAAAAUAGUCUCUUGGAGCAAAUGAGAAAAGCAUCCAAGCUUACUUUCUGCAUUUCAUGUGUAGUCCUGUGAUCAAUGAUUUCUAUUUGAGACACUUAGGAUGGUUGACAUAUAAAAUACAAAUACCAGGUGGGUAGAUCAUGCGUUGUUUUUAUAAGAUGAUGUGAUUGACUGACUUUUGAUAAAUGAAGUAUACAGAAAGUGCAGCAGAAAACAAAUUAUAAACAUUGAGGUUCCAGAUAAUUUAUAUUAUUUAAUGAUUUGAAGCUUAUUCCUCUAAUCAUUCUCUUCACUGGACAAACAUAACUUCAAUGACUUACUUGCAUUAAAUGAUUUCCAAUUCAUGAACCAUUUGAGACCAGUGUGGAUGUGUUGUCUCACAUCUGAUAGGUUGCAGGAUAGUCCUAAGAAUUGAUCACCAAGUUCAACAGGGGUGCCUUCGUUCCUCCCAUUAUCUCCAAGCCUGCAGCAAAUUGAAAACCUUUUAGUCAUUUUGUUAUAUCUUUCAACAUUUUAAUUCAUAAUAAUCAAAGAAUUUUUGAAACAUGCGAGUGAAAAUGAAAAUAAAGGAAACGGGUGGGAAGGUGUAAUAGGAGGGGAUGUAGGAAAUGUCACAUAGCAAUUGGCGGAGAAAUGCAGAUUGAAGGGUGUUGAGUUGGAGAUUUAUUUUUAUAUUAAAAAAUAAAAAAUUAAAGACUUGGUUUUAUUUUGAUAUUAAAAAAGAGUAAUUAUUUAGCAAAUGAGAAAUUCGGAGAUAAAAAUAAACUCACAAUGUUUGUUUGCAGUUUUUAAUAAGAAGCAAGAGCCUUGCAACCACAUUUAAUCAAACACCUCUUCUACAAUUCAGACAUAAAGCUAGCCUUGUACCAUCCAAAAAAUAUUCAACAAAGGGAGAAAGGACAUCCUUAGCAUCAGGCUGAUCCCAUUCCACUGAUUCCCACCAUUCUCUCGGCCAUACUGUGAUUCCUUUUAGAGAAGGAGGAGGAGAUGGUUUCCCAUUUUCAACAAGGGGAAGAGACAAAGGGAUCCUCUUUACCGCUCUACACCCCGAUAUGACAAGAUGUUGGAGAGAAUCUGCAGGAAUCAUAAGUCCACCGCUACAAAUGCUUUUCAAUUUUGGUAAGUUAAUCAAGAAUAAUGAUUUUAAUUUGGGAAGAAUAAAUGUUGUUCCUUCUUCUUUCUGAUUUUCUUCUGAUGCUAUUAUUUCCUCCAUUUCUUCACAACCUCGGACAUAAAUUUCCUCUAAGUUUUGGAGGCUCUUCAACGGCUCGAUUGUAAGCAACUUCUUCACCCUCGAACAACCAAUCACAUAUAAUUGUUUAAGAGAAGAGAAGGCAGGUGGUGUUGGAGCAUGAGAGGUAGAUUCAAAUUCAACCGCUACUCCUACUUCUACUCCUACUCUCACAACUUCACGCAAGUUGCGUAAGAAACAUAGUUGUAACACCUCAAUGUUGUGAAGUGCGUCGCAAGACGAUAAUGACAAGUCAACCACACACUCUAUCCCAGAACACUUCCUAAUUUGACAUAACUUCAAGUCAGGUGCCUUAUGAAACAAAGGAAUAUUGCUUAAACAUUUGAAAUCAUUACACUCCUCAAUAAGUAAAGGGUGAAGGUCAUUUGGGAGCACUAUAUCAUCACACCUCUCUAUCUCCAAAUUUCUAAAUUCAACCUUUUUCUUAAUUUCUUUGAAAUCUGGGAAUCCCCGAUAUAAAUACCCUUAAGUGGUCCCACUUGAAAAAAGAAAGAUGGAGGCCAUUUACCUUGUGCAGACUUUACAUAUUUCUUAAACUCUUGCAUGUUGCGAAAUGAACAUGAAACCCACUCAAGGUUCCUCAAUUUGCCCACUUCUUCCCCUCUUAAAUGUAACUCUCCCAGCAAGCAUUGCAGAUGAGAAAUCUUCACUAAUAUUCCUAUUGGUAGCUCCUUUAGAUGCCUUGACCUUAGACGAAAAUAUCUAAGGUUUUGUAACAUUUCUAUACCAUGAGGAAGCUCUUCAAUUCCUGUACCAUAAAGGUCCAACUUUCUCAGUGCUCUGAGCUCUGCUAAUGAAGGCACAUAUUUUAACCUGCCACAACUAGCAAGUAUCAAUGCAUCGAGGUUUUUCAAGUUAGAGAUGGAAUUGGGUAGAUCCUCCAAGUAAUAAUUACUAUAAAGAUUUAGAACUUUUAGUCUAGGCAUGUGCUUAAAGAAAGAUUCAGGAAUACUUUUUAAGCCACAUUGUUGCAAAAUCAAAGUUGACAAAUGAGGACACUCAGGUGAUAUGUGAGGAGGGAUUUCUAUUAAUUUUGAAUUUUGCAUCAAAGAAACCUUCUCAACACUCACUGUCCAUUCUUGCUCACUUGGGAAUUCUUUCAAUUGCAUACCUGCUUUUACCAUGAACUGAUGACCUUUAAUAUACAACGCCAUGUCCCUCAAAACAUCAUGCAUCUUAACUCCUUCUUUGCGACUCCUAGUUGUAGCCCUCUCUAGCAAGCAAUUAUUUUCAAGCUUAUUUAAAAUGCUAUGGCCUCUGUCAUGCAUUUCUUGUCUAGUCCUUAAGCCAUCAAGGAGUCCUUCAUCUAUCCAAUUUUCAAUUAAUUCAACUUCUCCAAUCACAAAAUCUUCAGAAUACAAGGAGCAAUAUAAGAAACAAUUUUGAAUUUUUGGAUCUUUCAAAUAGUCAUAACUGAACUUCAAACGCUCAAAUAUUUCAACAUCCGAUCCUUUCACACUUUUCACACGCUCUUUUAAUUCCAUUAAUGCAUUUCUCCACUCACAAAUAUCAUUUACCCCCUUCAUGCUUCCAGCUAUUGUGACAAUGCUAAGUGGUAAACCACCACAUUGCUCAACAAUUUUGUUGACAAUGUCUUUUAAAUUUUGAUCUUGUACAACACCAUGCCCCACACGAUCUAAGAAUAAGUUCAUGGACUCUGUCUUUGAAAGCGGUUGCACUUUGACCACCUUACAAUCCAUAGAUUGGCAGACCUCAAUCAAUCUACUAGUGAGUACAACUUUCCUCCCCAUACCUAUUGUUGGUUCAGGGAUACCCACAUCCAAUAGAGAAAACCGUUUCCAAACAUCGUCUAAGAUCAACACAUAUCUUUUUCCCUCCAAAAUAUCUUUUAAUGUUGAUGCUCUUUGCAGUUCAUCAUAUUUUGGAAGAGACUCUUUCAAAGAAUCUGCAAUAUCUUUUUGCAAUCUAAAAAUAUUCAAUUCUUUUGAUACAGUGAUCCAUAUCACUUGAUCAAACUUCUCACUUUCCUUUAACAAUCGAUUGUUGAUAUGCUUCAUGAUAGUAGUUUUCCCUAUACCACCCAUUCCACAUACUCCAAUCAUUCCAACCUUAUUACCCAUCAAAUACUCCCAAAUUUGUUCUUUUACAUCGAUUUCACCUUCUAGAUUUGGUGUUGGUAACAUCACCCCGGUGGUUGGAGGCCCAUCAACUGCCACAUUGUUAGGGAAACUACCGUUUUGGUGAAUUUCCUUUACCUCUUCAAUCAUUCGGCAAACAAAUUUUCCAAGACGACCACGUAAGAAGUAUGAAACAACAUGGAACUUGGUUUCAAUCUCUUCCAUUUCAGUGUUAACCUUUUCUACAGCUUUAAACCAGUACUCCACUUCUUCCCUCACCACUUUUCUGUGACGAAGCUCCUCUUCCUUUCUUGAUAUGAGGUCUCUCUUUCGGAUGUUUAAAACAUUCACUUUUUCUCGAAGAUCAUUCAUAUGUUCUUCAAGUUUUCGGUGAUGGUCAAUGUAUGUACAGGUUGGACCACCAAAGCACUUUAUCACUUCAAAAAUUUGCCCUAUAAGCUCCAUAUAAGCUAUUCCCUAGAGAUUAAACCAAGAUAUAUUAGAUCUCCAUAUGACAUAAGCUACUCCCUCCCUAAACUACAAUUCUAUAUUUUUCAUAUAAUACAGAAUAUGUUAGAAAAAAAUCUUACUAAUUAAAAUUUUUUUACCAAUUCUUCUUAAGAAAAAACAUAAUAUUUUUGAAAACAUUAUAAAAAACAAGAAGUUUUUGUUUCCGUCACUUAAUUACUAUAAUUAUUUUCCACCUAAUUAAGAGAAAAGAAGCAUGACAUAGACCAAUGAACAAAAAUAAUUAUGUGAAAGGAAAGAUGAUGAACCUAUGUUAUGAAUCUAAAACAUGAAUCCAAAUCAAUAUUAAACAAUUUAAUUUAUCUAGUCAAGUGAGGCAGAUGAGCUGGUACUUCUUCUAUUCUUAGAGUUUCUUGAUUAAGUUUGUAAAAGCAGAUCUCCUUGCAAAAAAUUGUCAAGAAAAUAGCAUCAAGCAGAUCUCCUUCCAAAAUAUCCUCUAUGAGAAGAAAAUGAGUAAUGAAGCACAUGAAUUAUUGAAAAGUGGGCAAGAUUAAUAUUUAUGUAAGAAACUAAAAUAAAUGCCCAAUUUGUGUCUUAAUAUUUAUAUAAAACUUAUGAUAAGAUGAAUUUGUGUUAUAAUUUAAGAUUUCGAUUAAUUAAUGUUAUCAAAGAUAAAACUAAAUCAUAAGUAUAGACAACCUACUUAAUUCCGUGAGGCAGGGAAGUGAUACUUCUAUCUUCAGAAGGCCCUUAAUAAAUUUGAGAAACAAGCCCAAUCAAGAAAAAUAGCAAUAACAAAUAGAUUAUCUCCUUGCGAAAAAGAAAAUCCUGAUCCUCCGAGAGAAGAGAAUUAUUGAAUUAUGAAGCAGAAAAGAAUUAAAGUCGGCAACUCAAUGCAAAGUUGAAUUAUUUUCAACCUAAUUAGGCAAAAAAGGAAAAAGAAUAGAAGCAUAAAAUAAAGAGAAAGACCCAAAAGAAAGUUUUAUGGAGUUUGUUGAAAGAUGAAUUUAUGGCAGAAGGUAAGAUUCAGAGAUGGUACCAAAGAUGAAAAAUAUAAGCGUAGAUACUUCAGCUUGUUGAUAUCACUAAGCAGAUCUCCUUGCAAAUUCCUGUGUAAUGAGAAGAGAAGGAAUUAUGAAGCAAAUAAGUCAAUGCAAGUCAUGACAUUGGUUUCGGGGUCACUUCCCUUAAAGCUGCUUUGAAAUAAAGAAAAUAUAAAUAAAAUAAAAGAUGAUGAAGUGAGCCUGAACACUCGUUCAUUUUUCUUAAAGAAACAAUAAUCUAAGUUAGGACAAAAAGGAAGCAUCCGAGAAGGAUCCUGCGUAAAUUUUUACCAUUAAAUUACUUUGUGAAAAGACAAAGUUAGGUGCGAAUUGAGCACAAGGAAAGAUGAAGCAAUUAAAAAUUCAUCCAUUGUGUUAGUGGCGAAAUAAAAUAAUGAAAAGUUAGAGAAAUAGGGAGUCAUGAUUAGUGACUUGUGGGGUAGUAAUUGGAUUCCCCUUCUAGGUGUUUUGUGUUAUGCCAUAAACUUAUUACAUUAAUCUGAAUUUAUAAUUUAUAAAGAGAAUUAUUUCAACCUGAAAACUGAAAAAUAAGUAUCCCAAUCUGCAAUAGAAUGAUUUGACUAUGCACAGAAUGUGCAUAAGCUAUGAUCUACUGAAUGUAGUCCAUUUUAUAAGGGGACAAGAAACGAAUUGCCCUGUUCUUUGAUGGAGCUUCAGCAUCAUGCUUCAACCAGAAGUUUUCUACUGAGUUAACCGGAUUGUUAGUUCCUUGAUUGAUUUUCUAGUUAAUGAGCCAUAUCAGAUUACUUAGACUUGAGAAAUAGAAUUUCAACUUCUAAGGUUCUAAAUGUGACUAGUUCACAAAAUAUAUAGAAAUAUAAGGUACAAGAAGAUGAUGAUGAAGAUCAUUAAGUAAAGAUAUUGAUGAAGUGUGACGGUCAUUUCAUUGUUGAAGAUGAUUCAUGGCCGCCCCGUGGAACUGCUUCAAAAUAGUUCUUUUCAGAUAGUCCUAAAUAAUUGCUGCUGCACACACAACAGACAAAUGUGGAUGCAGCUUAUCACUUCUGAUAGAGCAGAGGACUCCCCUAAGAAUAUGGAUCAUCUGCUAGUUCAAAUUGUCUUGACUCUUUCCACAAUCUCCAUUCCUGAUACAUAUCAAAACCAUUUUGUCAUUUAUUAGUUUGAAAACUUAAUUAGUUAAAUGAUAAUACAUUGCACAACACUUACAUGUCCAACAAGGCUCAACAUUGGUUGAUAAAACCUUCUAUUCUUCUCUCCACAUAUUAUCUCCAGCAAUAGCCAAAUAUAGUACCCAUCAACAAGUGGGUUAAUUUAUCCUUACCCCAUCAACCUUAAGUUAAGCUUUUGUUUUGGUCUGAUAGUUUAGGUGCACAAUCGAUCAAGAAGUGGAAUUUUUUCUGUCAAUAGCAAAAAUUAAAAUCAGAAACUGUUUUUUGACCAAGAAAAGAAGCAAAUAAUUGAAAUUUUGUAGUUUUAAGAAGGAAGCAAGACGAUUACCAGACGAGAAGCUGUGUUCAGCCAAAUGAAAAGGCAAUAGCAUUUCCUUAGCAUUAGGAUCAUCCCAUUCCAGUGAUUCCCACCAUUCUUCUGGAUAUAAAACGAUUUGCUCAACAGGAGGAGUGGGAGGAGAUGGUAGUCCAUUUUCAAGCAGGGGAAGAGAUAAGGGGAUCCUUUUUAACUUCGGACAUUCUAUUACCUCAAGAUAUUGACGAGAGUUUGUUGGAAUCAUAAGUCCAAAAACCACAAAUGCUUUUCUGCUCUGGUAAUUUCAACAAGGAAAGUUUCCUUAAUUUGGGAAGAAUAAAUGUUAUGUGGUAAUUGCCCUUCCUGCCUCAAUUUCCUCCAACUUUUGAAAACCCUACAGCAGCUUAAUUGAACACAACUUCUUCAUACUCGAACAGUUUCUCAAGCAAAACCUUUUGAGAGAAGAGAAAAUGGGAGGUGGUGUUGGGAUGUGAGAUGGAGAUACACAUAGAUUCAUGGUUUUCAUGAAUAAGAUAAAAAUGUUAUGAUCACCAUUUAAACAUAAUAUAUAUAUUAUAUAUAAUAUAUAUAUAUAUUAGAGUAAUCACACUAAUCAUAUCAAAUUAAACUUAUACUCAUAAUUUGCGUGCAACAUCAAAUCACCAAAUCUUAUACAGAUAAUUUAAACUAUUAAUCUUGUUUAAUUAUAUAUGUAUUCAUCAUUUGAAGGGCUUUGUAAAUUUAUAAAGUAAACAACAAUAAGCAAUAAUUAUGUUUAUUUUCAAUAUCUUGGUAUUGAUACAUCACUUCCCAAAUAUGCUUUCCUUUUCUUUUUCAUACAUAGACAUUGUCUUGUUUGGAGAUUGUAGCUAGCUAGAUACCAUUAUUGCCAGUCCAAGAGGUGACACUUUGGAGAUUGAAUAGAAUUUAAUUUUCAGGUGUUUUGGUCUUGAGAUGAGUGUCAACAUUAAUUCCUUUGGAUCUCUUGAAUUAGCUUUUGUAAAUAAAAGAAGGUAUCCCUCCUCAAACAUGGAAAAUCCCCUUUCAAACCUAUAAUUUUAAAGAAAGAAAAUCCUAAUUUAAUAGAUUAGUUGCCAACUAGGGACAAGCUCCGUUGAUGUGACAUUAAUUUUGGUAUAUUCUAACACUUGUUGACUAGAUUCAAUUGGAUAGGAUUUUUAAUUUGGGUGAAAUUUACGGGUACUGAUUAAACAAUGGAAGUGACAUUGGAGGUUCUAAGUCCCUUUCACCUAAGAGAGAAAUGAGUUUGUUCAAUUGACACAGCUUUGGUACAAACAGAAAGUAAGCUAAUACCAUAUCCAUAUUUCUCAUGUGACUUGCAACAAAUUUAAGACUGAAGUAUGGCAAAAUAUUGGGUAUUUGUAUAAAUUACAAUACAGAUAAAGAAAAAAAAAAAAGAAAGAGACUAAAUAGAAAGGGGAAGUGGAAAGAUCCCCAAAAUCAAUUAGUUGCAAGUGGAAGGAGCAAAGCCCAACUUUGUUGGCAACAAGGUCAUGUUCCCACAGAUGAUUUUGUUGCAGAGUGUUGUCAAUAAUAUUUACUUCCAAGCUGUCUUUUGGUAAAUAGAAGCUGAUAAUGGUUAUCUGGAUCAAGCUCAAAUAUAGCUCCAUCUUCAAAAAUGAAUUGCAAAUCUUGACACUGAUGAGAAAAUCAAGCCUUUUUAUUGCUUUUAAUAAAAGCGUAUAAAAUUUGAAGGGUGCUCAGUUGGGGAAUUACUAGUUCCCAAGUAAUAGUUUUAACUGCUACUUUCUUGUACCAAAUUCCCAAGAAACGAUUCUUAGAGCUUCCAGGACAAAGAAACCAAGCUUAAGGAUUCCAUCCAUCACUAACAGACUGGGAGGAGGUGGAGAUAUCGAUUCCAUCAGCAAUACUUAAAAACAAUAUUAGCAAAAUGGUGUUGGUGAACAUGAAAGACAGAAUGUCUAUUUGUCUCAACUUUCAGAGCUUGUAAAACUUAUAGAAAAACUUUUCAGUUUGGCAGAUUUUAGAGAGCAAACAUAUUUAAACUGAUGGUCGUUGACUAGUAUGCAAGUCUUCCUUGAAAAGACCAAACUUUUCAGGUUGCACAGAAUUCUUAUUUCUGAUUUUUAUGAGGCUUCAGUGUAGUCAUCUUGUAUUGUCUCUGUGAAUUGUAUAUACAUAUUAUACCCCCAAGUGGGCACUUGCAGGGUGCUAAGCUCAAACUGGGACUAAACCACUGGUAUCAAAGCAUAAGGGACAUAAACAUACGGAUCGAUAGCCUAUAAUAAUGGCUUGGAGAUGAAAGAGCUUAAGUAUACAGUUUAUCAAUUAUCGAGCAUCUAGUACUGACAGAGUUAUUUCAUUUGUGGAAGAAGAUACAUGCUUGUCUGAUGAAGAAUCUUCUUCAAGUGGACUUUUCUUAGACAAAAUACCAGGUUGUUUGGGGUGUGGCAAUUCAGUUUCACUUCCCAACAUCAGAAUCACAAAUGACAUACGUGGCCUCUCCUCAGGGAUUUUGUCAUUUAUCAGUUAGAAAUGUUGAAAAUCUCAAGGAUUUUGUUAUAUUUGCAGACCAUUAUCUGUUAAAAUGAUAAAGAUAAAACGAGAGAGAAAAUAUAAUUGAACACAAAGUCUCCCUACAGUCUUUUCAUUCAACAAUAACACUUAUAAAUACAUUUACAGGAGAGAGAAGACAACAAUAAAAUAAAACAACACGUAAAGUAAAAUAACUGCACAAUAUCCAUAUCUUACAUAAUCACCUACUUUACAAUACAAACCCACUACCUAACAUAACAAUAACUGACUCAACAUGACAAUAAUUGUAAAAGAGAAAAUAAACUGAUAUUAACUAAUAAAUUAAAAAAUUGUUGAGAAUAACUGAAUCUGAUUCUUCAAGUCAAAUCUCAUUCUUCAACAAAACUUGAUUAGUUAAAUGAUAAUACAUUUCACAACACUUUUAUGUCCAACGAGGCUCAACACUUUUGUCUGGUUGAUAAAAGCUUCUAUUUUACCUUCCACAAAUUAUCUCCAGCAAUAAUAUACCAAAGCUAAAUACACUACCCAUCAAGAAGUGGGUUAAAUUAUCCUUAACCCAUCAACAUUAAGUUAAGCCUUUGUUUUGGUCUGAUAGUUUAGGUGCGCAAUCGAUCAAGAGGUAGAAUUUUUUCUGUCAAUAAUAAAAAUUAAAAUCAGAAACUAUUUUUUGACAAAAAACAGAAGCUAAUAAUUGAAAUUUUGUAGUUUUAAGAAGGAAGCAAGACGAUUACUAGACGAGAAGCUGUGUACAGCCAAAUGAAAAGGCAAAAGCAUUUCCCUAACAUUAGGAUCAUCCCAUUCCACUGAUUCCCACCAAGUAAUUGUUUGGCCCUUGAUCCAAUAUAGACUUGGUGUAUUCUACUGAGAUUUGUAAAUUUAUUUUCUUAAAUUGAAAGCACUGUUGUGAAGAUUUUUCCCUUUCGAAAUGAUUGGUUUUUCAAUGUCAGACAAAUUAAGAAUACACCAUACUUUAGAAAUGGAAACAUAUAUAAACUACUUAUUAAAUUACUACAACAUCAAGCAAAUUACUGUAAUGAACAAGUGAUAAUGAAGUCAAUAUAAUCCAAGAAGAUAGAUUGAAGGGAGUUCAGUUGGCUAAUUGAUGCAGAGAAUAUUUGGAGCAGACUGGGUUAAUCCUUGUCCAAAACUCCUUGAAAGCCUCUUCAUAGCAAUUUCCUGUGACCAUUUACUAAGAUAGAUUGAAAGACCGCCUGCAAAUAGGAGAGAAGAAAAUGUUGAUGUAACGACCCAAGUCCAAUCACCGGCCCAGCAACUUUUCGAACCUAAACCAAUCACUGGCCUAGCAACUUUUCGAACCUAAACCACAUGGCCCUUAAAAGCUUAAGCUUAAGUUACUAGUAGUGAUGGACUUGGAUUGUUAUAUAGGUAUUAACAAUCAUAUUCAUAUUAGACGUGAGAUUUGAGGUAUCACAAUCCGACCCAUUCAGAUCCUUGAUGUCAUCAUCAAGACCACACAUCACAUUCACGAGACCAAGAUCUCAUUAGAGCAAUGUGAAAGCUCACAUCGGACUAGCGCAAGCUCUUAUACCAUUUGUAAUGACCCAAGUCCAAUCAUUGGCCCAGCAGCUUUUCGGACCUAAACCACAUGUACCUCAAAAGUUGAAACUCAAGUUACUAGUAAUGAUGGACUUAGAUUGUUAUAUAAGUUUUAACAAUCAUAUUUAUAUCAGAUGUGGGAUGUGAGGUAUCACAAUGAACUUGAGUUUAAGUUUUUGAUGACCAUGUGGUUUAAGUCUAAAAAGCUGUUGGGCCAGUGAUUGGAUUUGAGUCAUUACAAAUGGUAUCAGAGCCUACGCCAGUCCGAUGUGAGUUUUCACAUUGCUCUUAUGAGAUCUUAUUCUCGUGGAUGUGAUGUAUGGCCUUGAUGAGAACAUCAAAGAUUUGAGUUGGUGGGAUUGUGAUAUCUCACAUCCCACAUCUGAUAUGAAUGUGAUUGUUAAAACCUAUAUAACAAUUCGAGUCUAUCACUACUAGUAACUUGAGCUUAACUUUUUAAGGACCAUGUGGUUUAGGUCCUAAAAGCUAUUGGGCCAAUGAUUGGACUUGGGUUGUUACAGUUGAUUAACAUCAACAAGUACAUCCCCUAGAUAAAUGAAUAAAAAUAAACACAGAAUGUGGAUAAAAAUAAACUGAGACUAUUUGCAGUUUUAAGAAAAAACGUUGAGGACUUUACCGAUGUGAACCGUCGAGCCACAUUUAAUGGAGUAGAUUUUCUCCAUCUCAUUCUACCAAAUAAAAACAAAGGGAGAAAAGACAUGCUUAGCAUCAAGGUGAUCCCAUUGCACUGAUUCCCACCAUUCACUCUGGCUUACAUUGAUUUCUUCUAGAAAAGGAAGAGGACAUGGUUGCCCAUUUUCAAAAAGGGCAAGACACAAAGGGAUCCUCUUUAGAUUUGGACAUUUCCAUAUUCGAAGAUUUCGGAGAGAAUCUGUAGGAAUCACAACUCCACCACUGUAAAUGCUUUUCAAUUUUGGUAAGUAGAUCAUCCAUAAUGAUUUUAAUUUAAGCAGAAUGAAUGUUGUUCUUUCUCCUUUACGAUUUUCUUCUUAUUCUGAUGCUAUUAUUUCCUCUAUUUCUUUAUAGUCUUCAACUUUAAUUUCCUGUAAGUUUUAGAGACCUUGCAACAACUCAAUUGGGAACAACUUCUUCAUCUUCCAACACAAAUCUAGAUGCAAUAAUUUAAGAGAAAAGAAGAUGGUAGGUGGGGUUAGAGGAGGAGAGGUAGAACCAAAUUCAAGCGCUACUCUUACUCUCACAUGUUCAUGCAAGUUCCACAAUGACUUAAGGAAUAUCUUCUUAAUGUCAUCAAGUGUGUUGCAAGGCGACAAUGACAAGUCAACCACACACGCCGUCCCUUUACACUCCUCAAUUUAACAUAUCUUCAAGUUAGUUGCCUUACGAAACAAAGGAAUAUUGCUUAAACAUUUGAAAUCAUUACACUUCCCAAUACGUAAAGUAUGAAGGCCAUUUGGGACUAGUGUAUCUUCUAUUUUCUCCAUCUCACAAUGCAUGAAUGUUAUCUGCUUUUCAAGUUUCUCUAAAUUUUGGACAGGUAGACUAUGUAAAACCUCAGAUGAUCCUACUUCAGGAUAAAGAUUUUUAGGCCAUUUACCUUGUAUAGACUUUGCAUAUCUUGAACUCUUACAAGUCACAAAAUGAACAUGAAAGAAUCUCAAGCUUCAUCAAUUUGCCUUCUUCUUCUCCCAUUAAAUGCGGCCCUACUAUUAAGCAUUGGAGAUGAGACAUCAUCAGCAAUAUUCCUACAGGCAGCUCUUUUAUAUUAGAUGACCAUAGACGGAGAUAUCUAAGGAUUUCUAACUUUUUUAUUCCAUGAGGAGCCUCUUCAAUUCCCAUAUACAAAAGGUCCAACUUUUUAAUGCUCUAAGCUUUGCCGAGGAAGGCACACAUUUUAAUAUGUAACAACAAAAAAGUAUCAAUGCAUUAAGAUUUUUCAAGUUACAGAUGGAAUUGGGUAGAUCUACAAUCUGAGUACGAGAAAGAUCUAAAACUUUUAGGUCAGACAUGUACUUAAAUAAAGAUUCUGGAAUCCUUCUUAAGCCACAGUUUUGCAAUAUCAAAGUUGACAAACGAGGACAUUCAGGUGAUAUGUGAGGAGGGAUUUCUAUUAAUUUUGAAUUGUCUAAUAUCAAGGAAACCUUCUCAACACUCAUUGUCCAUUCCUGCUUAAUUGGUAGUUCCUUUAAUUGCAUGUAUUGAUGACCACUACUUUUAACAUACAAUGCCACGUCUCUCAAAACAUCAUGCAUCUUAACUUCUUCCGUAUAAUCAGUUGUAGUCCUUUUUAACAAGCAAUUAUUUUCAAGCUUAUUUAAAAUGCUAUGGCCUUUGUCAUACAUUGCUUGUCUAGUCCCUAAGCUAUCAAGGAGUCCCUCAUCUAUCCAUUUUUCAAUUAAGUCUGUUUUUCUAAUUCUAAAAUCCUCAAGAUACAAGGAGCAAUAUAAGAAAUGAUUUUGGAUUUCUAGAUCUCCCAAAUGGUCAUAAUUGAACUUUAAACACUCAAAUUUUUCAAUGUUCGACCCUUUCACAAUUUUCACUUGCUCCUCUAAUUCAUUUAGUGCAUUCCUUCACUCACAAAUAUCAUCUACUUCUACCCCUUUUAGGCUACUAGCCAUUGUCACAAUGAAAAGUGGUAAACCGCCACAUUGCUCAACAAUUUUGUUGACAAUAUCUUUUAAAUUUUGAUCUUGUAUAACACUAUACCCCACACAAUCUAAGAAUAUAUUCAUGGACUCUUUUUUUGAAAGCGGUUGCACUUUGACCACCUCACAACCCAUAGAUUUAUAGACCUCAAUUGAUGUACUAGUGAAAACUACUUUCCUCCCCAUACUUAAUGUUGGUUUUGGGAUUUCCUCAUUUAGUAGAGAAAGUCAUUUCCAAACAUCGUCUAAGAUCAACACAUAUCUCUUUUUCUCUAAAAUAUCUUUUAAUGUUGCUACUCGUUGCAAGUCAUCUACUGGAAGAGAUUAUUUCAAAAAAUUUGUAAUAUCUUGUUGCAAUUUGAAAAUAUUCAAUUCUUUUCAUAUAGUGACCCAUAUCACUUGAUCAAAUCAAUUAUCCUUCAACAAUUGAUUAUUGAUAUGCUUCAUGAUUGUAGUUUUCCCUAUACCACCCAUUCCACAUACUCCAAUCAUUCCAACCUCUUCACCCAUCAGAUACUCUGAAAUUUGCUCUUUCAUAUUGAUUUCACCCUCUAGAUUUGGUGUUGCUAAUGUCAUCCCAGCAAUUGAAGGCCCAUCAACCGCCACACCAUCAGGGAAACAACCUUGUUGGUAAAUUUCCAUUACUCCUUCAAUCUUUCCGCAAAGAAAUUUUCCUAGAUGGCCGCAUAAUAAGUAUGAAACAGCACAGAACUUCUUUUCAAUCUCUUUCAUUUCAGUCUUUACCCUUUGUACCUCUUUAAACCAGUUCUCCACUUCUUUCUUCACCUCUUUUCUGUGACGAAGCUCCGCAUCCUUAAUGGAUUCAACAUCUUUCUUUCGAGAUUUCAAAGCAUCCACUUUCCUUCGAAGCUCAUUCAUAUGUUCUGCAGGUUUUCGAUGAUGAUCUAUGUAUCUAUAGGUUGGAUCCCAAAAAUACUUUAUCACUUCAUAAAUUAGCCCUAAAAAGUCCAUAUAAGCUACACCCUAUAAUUUAAUAAACCAACUUAUAUUACAUCUCUACAUGAUAUAAGCUACUCCCUGUACUAAAAUUCAAUAAAAUAAUAUGUAGCCUAUACGUUACAAAAAAAAUGUUACAAAAUAAUAAAUUUUUAAUUUCAAAAUUGGAAGACUAAAUUUACUAUAUGUGAUUUUUUUAUAUAUUUUACACAUUUAAUACGAAUUCAAAUGAGAUUAGGCAAGAAUUUGUAAUUGUUAGCCUAAGUGAACAUAGAAUGACCAUUUAAUGUUAAAUAUUCAAAUUCAAAAAUGGAUAUUGUCACCCAAAAAUGUAUUUGCUAGCAUAACUCAAAUAAAAGGAAAACUUUAUAAUAUUAAAAUUUGCAUUGAUUUCACUGUUUUCUCUACCAAUUGUUUCAAAUAGCGUUUAUUGCUAUUAAUUUUUUUGACCAUGACUCCUAAUUUGAUUUUUGUUUCAUACUUAUUACUUAUUUAAUUGUUCACAUUCAUAAUUCAGAGUUUACCUUAUAUGGUUACUUCAACUUUACCUCUUAAAAUAUGAGAUAUCUUGAAAUUAAUGCUAUAAAUUGCAAAUUUUUUCUACUUACUUGGUAUGUUUUUGUUAAAGAUUAUAUAUAGUUUCUUAGGCUAUUCUCCACUCAUAUUUAGUUUCUAUGUUUCCCUAAUCCAAAUUUCCAUCAUCAAAAGUUUGAUUUCUUCUUUUUGCAGACCUCUUUGAAUUAUUCAAUUUUGUCUAUAUAUGUAUUUUGACCUCAUUGAUUUAUAAUUAUUUAGUAGUUAUGUAUUUCAACCUCUUUAAUGAACUAUUCAAUUUCUUAAUUUAUUUUCUUUAGUCAAUUGUUUUACUGUAUUCAUAUGAGUAGAUUUUCAUCAGAAUCAUUUAAUCUUCUAAGACGUUAUUCAUUAACAUGGAUACUUCCAACUUAAUUUUUUUUUACAUUCUACUUUAUAUUUUAAAUUCUUAAAAAUUAUUAUAAAAUAAAAUUAUCACCUGUGCAUUGCAUGGGGAUAAAUCUAGUUUUUGAUAAUAAUAAACAUCAUCUUAACCAAUAAUAAUGAUAAUAAUAAAUAUCAAAGACCCAAGCAAAUAUUAAUCAUUUUGAAUUGAUAGUCCUAAAUAUUUUCAAUUGUGGAUUAAUAAAAUCUAAACAUGAGUAAGGAAUAUAUAUAUUACAUCUUUUUGAUAAUUAAAACAACAAAGCUUGUGACAACAACAAUAUAUCAUAAAAAGAUAUUUAAGAAAUGAUAGAAAGAAUAAAUUGAGAGAAUAGAAUGAUAUUUAGGGUCCGUUCGUUUUGCAGUAAAAUAUUUUCCGGAAAAUAUUUUCAGGACUUAUGCUUGUUUGGUAGAUGGAAAAUUAAUUUCAGAUGUAAAACAUUUUACGAGUUAAUAGGGUUAACCAUGGAAAAUGUCUUAUACGCUUGAAUGGCGUAAGACAUUUUUCAAAGAACAACAAAAACACUUUUAUGCUAAGUUUAUGAUUAUAAGUUUGAUGAAUAUUAAUAUUUAACUUAAAAUAUUAAAAAAAUAAAAAUAUUAAUAUUUAACUUUAAAAUAAUUACUUUAAAAUAUUAAUAUUUAAAUUAUACAAUACUAUUAAAAUUAAAAAAAAUAUUAUUGUAAUGAAACCAUUCAAUACAAUUAAAUUUUUUAUUUAUAAAUGGAAUAAAUCUUAUUAAUAAUUAUAAUAAAAAAUAUUUCAAUGAUCAUUAUUUGAUUAAUACACAUUUAUAAUAGUUUUAAAUCUUACUAAUAAUUAUAAUUAAAAAUAUUUCAAUGAUCGUCAUUUAAUGAAUACACAUUUAUAAGCAUAGAUUUAGGAUAUCUUACACAAUUGAUAAAUAUUUACAUUUUAUAGUUAUGAUAAAAAAGUGAUAAAAUGGAAAUUUUUUUGAAAAUUAGAGUUUAUUUUCAUCACAGAUAUGUGGUUAAAUGNGAAAUUUUUUUUUAAAUUAGAGUUUAUUUUCAUUACAGAUAUGUGGUUAAAUGCUUUGAGAAAUAUCAUUAUUGAUUUUGUCCAUUUUCAUCUUCAUUCUUAAUUUUGAUCCCAAAUUAGUGAAAAUCAAAUAUCAAUAUUGUUUUGUAAUCAACUCCUAUUUAUUAUUUUAACGCCUAAAUAAGUCCACCAUAAUGAAAAAUAUUUUUCAUAAAAUGAUCCAAACAACUGAAAAUGUUUUCGAUAGUUUAUCCAAAUAAUAAAAUAUAUUAAAUUUUCCUAUAAAAUAUUUUACAUAGGAAAAAUUUUCCUUCAGUAAGUCAAUUUACGAUUACCAAACGGACCUUAAAGUACCUGGUUUCCUUUUCAAAUUAUUUGGAAAGACCAAGAAUAGAGGUUAAGUAGAUGAACUGCAAAUUAAUCCCCUUGGCUCCUUGCGUUAAGUAGAAAUUUUUGUGGAAAAUUAAAAAUCUUAUUUUUAACACCAGUAGUGUUAAUUCAAAUUUAUACUUGUACCAAUUCAAAUUUAUAUUUAAGAGGAGAAUCAAUCCAAUCUGAAGAGUGAAAAAGUCUUGAAUUAAUUCCUUGUUGCUGAUGUAGAGAGAUGUAGUUGUAGAAGAAACUAUGCAUAGAAGGAACAAGUUUAGCCCUUGAAAAGAGCCUUGUGGAUGGCUCUUGAUCUUUACACAAAUGCUGCAGAGAACUUGUAAAUGAUGAGCUUGCAUGGAAUUUGUAUAUCUUAAUCAUAUGAAGCUUCAGUUUGGUCCUUCAAUUUCUCUAUCUAUGAAAUAAACACAAGGCAUUGUAUAUGAACUAUUCUAUACAUCUCAACUCUUCUUGGACAUAGAGAAAACCACCUUCAACUUGCUUUGAAAUUUCCUUCCUUGGUACAUGAUGCUGUCAAGUUAAGAACAUUGAAAAAUAGGAUUCAACCUUGCAAUCUAUAUUGACAUGAGGUUAACAUAAUUCUAAUCCAGUAUUGCAACUCCAUUACUGUCGACUCAAUCUGUAAUUAAUUUAAACAUAAGGGAAAGUAAGGUUAGAUUCAUUCGCAUUGGCUUUCUCUGCCCUGCUUUUAGAAAUUUCGUUGGUGAAAUUGGAUAAUGCUUCUUUCAGAUAAAAGACUUGAAGAUACCCCUUAAUAAAAGGAUUUGACAAAUUCUAAAUAUAAUUAGUUGAAUCAUAUGCAGAAACUGAAUUUGAAUCUCAAAAAGAAGAUUUUCUUCUCAUGAAAGCCUCUGUCAAGAACAUAUCCAGAUGACUUACAAUUCAAGUGAAUUUGGAUAGUGCUUCUGAUGAAAGCCUUCGAACAUUAGAACUACAGAAGACAUACAAUUCAAGUGACCAGAUUCCAGAUCAAAUAUGAACAAAUCUUGUAAAUUAGCAUUUUCUCCGCUCCUUGUUAUGCAACGACCAAGAGGCUUUACAGGAUUACGCUGCUGAAGCUUGGCAAUCAAUUUCACAUCAUUUCAUAGCACAUACAAUCCUUGUCAAGAACUCCUUCAAAGCCUAUACACAGCAAUUUGUCAUCCAUCUGAUAAUGUACCUUGAAAGGUUAAAAGUAAAGAUUGCAAAAGGGUUUUCCUUGUACAUACGUCCGAAUCCACCUUAUCCAAGCUUCUUGUAUAUUGGUGACUUUAGCUAUAGAGGAUAGGUCAAACAAGUCGAACCUCUGUGUUUUCCUUAUUGCCUACAACGUUCUGCUCAGCUUCUCCCAUGGUUUCUUUCUCUGAAAUAGAGGGAAAUGUGCCUCCUUAAGUGUACAGUUUUAAUGAUUUUUUUUUUGGAAGAUAUAGUGAUUUUUCAAUGCUGUUUUUUCCUCUGUUUUUUCUCCACUGACAAAUGAUUGAUACGCAAUUUCUAGCAAACUAUACCUUUCGAAAAAUUUCAAGAAACAGAAGAGCUAAAUGUUAUGGUUGACAAGACAAAUGAGCUUUACCUUGUAGGUUUCUCCAGAGUUUGUAAAGGUAACAGUCAAUUAUCACCAUCCCAGCAACAAUGGCAAGGUCAAUUCUGCUUUGAGAUAACAGCCAUCCUCUUCUUAGGCUCAUCUUUAGCCUUUUCAGGUUCAGAUUUGACACAGGAAAGUCAGUUAAACUUAUUUUCAGAAAGUAAGACACAGAGUUAAAAAAUGCUAAUGACACAUGAAAAAGCAAAUGAAUUAAUGAGUUAAAAUUAGGUGCAAAUUUAAUUUUGAAGCAGAAAUUUGAAUAUAAUGUACUCGCCCACCAGAAGGUUUCUGUCUGAUAUCAAAUAAUCAAAUCACAUGACUGAAAAGUUAGUGGUAGGGCCAAGAACUGAAGGUCCAUGUUUUCCUUGAAGCUUUCAGCAUGCCCUGAUCAGUUUCUUCAAUGUUUUUCUCUUAUCUAAUGUUCUGCUCAACAAAAGAAUAAAAAAUAAAAAAAUUUAAGACUAAAUGUAAAUGCAUGGUAAACUUGCUGUCUAGCUGAGAUGGUUUUAGAAAUUACUGAAGGCAUAGUGAAUGCUAAAUUUUUAAUGAAAAUCUGAUAGCCCAAUAACCAUAGGCAAAAAACAACUUGUGAAAGGACCAACCUAUCAUUGCCAUCAUCAGCCUCUUACUCUUCAUCCUCUUCUGAAGAAAAUUCUAAAACAACUUGUGAAAGGACAUCCUUAGCAUCAGGAUCAUCAAAUUCCACUAAUUCCCACCAUUUUCUUGGAUGAACAUAGCCAUGCUCGAGAGGAGGAGGAGUUGGUUGCCCAGUUUCAAGCCGGGGUAUGGAGAAAGGGAUCUUCUUGAGCUUUAGACAAUUUAUUAUUGAAAGAAAUUGGAGAGAGUUUGCAGGAACCAUAACUCCACUAGUACAAAUGCUUUUCAGUUCCGGUAAUUUGAUCAGGUGCAAGGUCUGUAAUUUGGGAAAAACAUAUGUUGUUACUUUAGGACCCCUUUCUUCUUCUUUGUGAUUUUCUUCCUCUGCUUCUGAUGCGAUUAUUUUCUCCAUCUUCUCACAGCGAUUAACUUCAAUGUACUCUAAGUUUUGCAAGCCCCGCGACAGCUGAACUGAAAACAAAUUCUUUAUACUUGAACAACGAAACAAAUGAAAUUUCCUAAGAGAAGAGAAGAUGGCAGGCGGUGCUGGAGUGUGAGAUGUAGAGACAGCUGCUACUCUUCCUUUCACAAGUUCUUGCAAGUUGGACAAACAUCGAAGACGUAGAACCUCAAUGUUCUGCAAUGAAUUGCAAGAUGAUAACGACAAAUCAACCAUGCACUUUAUUCCUUUACACCAACUAAUAGUACAUGUCUUCAACUCAUUUGCUUUACGGCACAAAGAAAUAUUGCUCAAGCUUUUGAGAUCAUGACAUGCCUCAACAGUCAGAGUCCUAACGCAAUUUGGGAGCACCACAAGAUCUUCUUUCCCUAUCUCGCAAUUAAUAAAACAUACCUUUUUGUCAACUUCGACAUCCUCAAGAUGAGAACACCAAGGAUGGCUCCUGAUGUUGCCCAAAGUAGGUGAUCCAACUCCAAGCCAGUAUUUGGAGGGCCCUUGACCCAAUAAAGACUUGGCAUAUCUCUCAAAGUCUUGUAUUUCACAAAAGAAUCCUAGAAGAAUCUCCAGCUUCCUUAGUUUGGCUACUUCCUCUCCUCUUCUAUUCAUCCAAGUUUUCAAGUAUUGGAGAUUAGAAAGCCUUAAUAGAAUUUCCGUUGGUAGUUCCUUUAGAUUCCUUGAAUAUAAAUCAAGAUAUGUGAGGCUUUCUAACAUUUCUAUACCACGAGGGACCUCCUCAAUAAUUGUAUCAAAAAGAUCCAACUUUCUCAAGGCUGUAAGCUUGGCUAAUGAAGGCACGUAUCUUAAACUGCUACACCUUCGAAGGACAAGUGCAGUUAGAUUUUCCAAGUUAGAAAUGGAAUUGGGCAGAUCAUAAAUGCCAGUAUCCGAAAGAUCUAGAACUUUUAGCCCAUGCAUGUGGUCAAAGAAAGAUUCUGGAAUUCUUUUGAGACUAUGAUUUUCUUGCAAUAACAAGGUUGACAAAUUAAGGCAUUUCGGUGAUAUCUGAGGAACUUGUGAUAUGUAAUUGUGAAUCAAGGAAACCUUCUCAAGAUUCUCUUUCCAUUUAUGCUCACUUGGUAACUCCACUAAUUGCAUACCAGCUUGAACCAUAAAGUGAUGACACCCUCUUAUAAUAGACAAUGCCAUGUCUCUUAGAACAUCAUGCACCUUCACUUCUUCCUUAACAUUGUAAGUCAUCACCCUCUCUAACAAGCAAUUAUUUACAAGCUUAUUUAAAAUAGCGCGACCUCUGUCUUGCAUUGCCUGUCUAGUUUCUAAUUCAUCAAUGAGAUCCUCAUCUAUCCAUUUUUCAAUCAACUCUUCUUCCACAAUGUGAUAAUCUUCAGGAUACAAGGAACAAUAUAAGAAACAAUUUUGAAUUUUUGAAUCUUUCAAACGAUCAUAACUGAAUUUCAUACGCUCAAAUAUUUCAAUAUCUAACCCUUUCACACUUUUAACCCUUUCACGUAAUUCAUUUAGUGCAUUCCUCCACUCGCAAGUAUCGUCCACUCCUCUCAUGCUACUAGCUAUAGUCACAAUGGCAAGCGGUAAACCACCACAUUCGUCAACAAUAAGGUUUGCAAUUUCCUUUACAGUUGGAUGUUGUAGAACCCUAUCCCCCACCAGAUUCAAAAAUAAGUUCAAUGACACCUUCUGCGAAAGAGGCUGCACUUUAAACACCUUACAACCCAUAGAAUUACAAACCUCAAUUGAUCUACUAGUGAUUAUCACUUUGCUCCCAUUAUGUAAUGUUGGUUCCGGGAUUCCCACAUCCAAUAGAGAAAACCGUUCCCAAACAUCAUCUAAGAUCAACACAUAUCUCUUUCUUUCCAAGACUUCCAUUAAUACAGUUGCCCAUUGCAACUUAUUUUCUGGAAGACAGCAUUCUAAAGCACAUGCAAUAUCUCCUUGUAAUUUGACAGCAUUGAAUUCUCUAGAUACGGUGACCCAAAUCACUGCAUCAAACUGAUUUUCCUUCAACAAUUGAUUAUUGAUAUGCUUCAUGAUGGUAGUUUUUCCCAUUCCACCCAUACCACAUACUCCAAUCAUGCCAACCUCGUCACCCAUUAAAUUUUCCCAAAUUUGUUCCUUUACAUCGAUUUCACCUUCUAGUUUUGUUGUGAGAAAUGUCACCCCUGUAGCUGGAGGCCCAUCAAUUGUUACACCCUCAGGGAAAUUACCUCGUUGAUAAAUUUCCUUUGCUUCUUCAAUCUUCUGGCAAACAAAUUUCCCUAGGCGUGCACGUGAGAAGUAUGAAACAACACGCAAUUUCUCUUCAAUCAUUUGAAGUUCAAUAUUUAUCCGUUCUAAAUCUUCAAACCAUUUCUCCACUUCUUUCUUCACCACUCUUCUGCAACGAAUAUCUGCUUCCUUUCUGAAUUCAAGGUCUUGCUUUCGAAUAUUUAGAUCAUUCACUUUUCUUUUAAGAUCAUUCACAUUUUCCUUAAGUUUCCGAUGAUGACUAAUGGAUCUAUAGGCUGGACCCCCAAAGCACUUUACCACUUCGAAAAUUGGCCCUAGAAGCUCCAUAUAAGCUACUCCCUGUAGUUUAAAAACCAAUAUGUAUAUUACAUCUCCAUAUAAGAUACUGCUUGUACUACUAUGUUAUUAAAUCUCAAACUUUUAUCAAUUCUUCUAAAGAAAAAAAAAACAAAAGAAAAAAUAUUGCUUUUAAAAAACUUUAUUAAAUACAAGAAUCCAUCAUCUAUGAGAAUAGUGUUUAUAUUUCUAAGACUACUUAUACGUUAAUGGUUUUAUAUAUAGUAUAUGUAGAUGAAUGUAUACAUGUUUGUGUUUAUAUAUUUAUAUAUAGUGUUCAACUUUCUCACUUAAGAACCAUCACAAAUUCUUUAAAUAUGUCUGACCUGUGUUUUCGAGUCUUGAUCAUUAGAACAUUAAUAAAAGGAGGAAUAAAAAAAUGAGAAAACAAUUCUCAAUAAUAUUAAACAUCAAGGACCCAAGCAACUUUCUCACUUAAGUUGUAUCACUCUCUAACAGGUAAUUAUUUUCAAGCUUAUUUAAAAUGCCCUCUGUCAUGCUUUGUUUGUCUGGUUUCUAAGCUGCCAUGGAGCCUCUCAUCUAUCCAAGUUUCAAUUAAUUUCAUUUUCUCAAUUUCAAAUUCUUCAGGACAUAAGGAACAAUAAUAUAAGAAAAAAUUUUAAAUUUUGUAUUUCUCAAGCAAUCAUAACUAAACUUCAAACAACCAAAUAUGUUGACGUUCACACCUUUCACACUUGUCACCCACUCUUCGAAUUCAUUCAGUGCAUACCUGCACUCACAAUAUCAUCUACCCCUUUCAUGCUACUGGCUAUUAAUGUCGCAAAGCGGUAAAUCGCACAUUGCUCAACAAUUUUGUUGACAAUGUCUUUUAAAUUUCAAUCUCAUACAACACCACAUGAUCUAAGAAUAAGUUCAUGGACCACGUUUUUUAAAGUGAUUUCACUUUGACAACCACACUAUCCAUAAAUUUACAGACCUCAAUUGAUUUACUAGUGAGUACAACUUUCCUCCCCAUACCUAAUGUUGGUUUUGUGAUUCCUACAUCCAAUAGAGAAAAAAUUGUUUCUAAACAUCAUCUAAAAUCAACGCACAUCUCUUUUCCUCCAAAAUAUUAUUUAAUGUUGCUGCUUAUUGCAAUAUAUCUUUUGGAAGAGAUUGGUACGAAGAAUCUGCAAUAUCUUCUUGCAAUUUGAAAAUAUUCAAUUCUUUUAAUAGGUGAGCCAUUCCACUUUAUCAAGCCAGUUAUCCUUCAACACUUGAUUAUUUAUAUGCUUCAUGAUGGUGGUUUUCCCUAUGCCACUCAUUCCAUAUACUCCAAUCAUUCCAAUCUCAUCACUCAUCAAAUACUUCAUUUUUUAAUUUUUCUUCAAUUUCACCUUCUAGAUUUGGUGUUGGUAAUGUCACCCUGGUGGCUAAAGGCCCAUCAAUUGCCACACCAUCAAGGAAACCACCUUGUUGGUAAAUUUCCUCUAAUUCAUCAAUCAUUCAACAAAAUGAUUUUCCUGGACGACCGCAUAAGAAGUAUGAACCAACACAGAACUUCUUUUCAAUAUUUUCCAUUUCAGUCACCCUUUGUACGUCUUCAAAGGUUAAAUGGAGCACAGUAUGCAAGCCCAAAAGAUUUGGAGGACUGGGGAUCUCAAACCUUAAGCAUAAAAACUUAGCUCUCCUUGCAAAAUAUUGGUGGUGGCAGUAUGGCAACGAGGAAAACGCAUUAUGGAGGUGGCUGAUUGUAGAAAAAUAUGAAAGGGGGCAAAAUCAUUGGAUCCCCUCAUCAUCAAACAUGGGAAGAAUGUCACUGAUAUGGAGAUCCAUUGUAAAUUUACCUUCCAACAAGGGUGUUCAAGAACUUGUGUGAGACCAAGCAUGUCGCUGGAUUACUAUUUUCUUUUGGCUUUACAAAUUGAUUAAUGAUGUUCCUCUUUUCUCCAAAUUUUCUCCUCUUUUCUCUUUGAUUGUUUCAAAGGAAAUGAAAGUUGUUGACGUGCAGAACAAUCGCACUUGGUCCAUAACCUUUAAACACAAUCUACAUUUAUGGGAGAAAGAAUCCUAGGAUGAGAUCCUCCACAAGUUCUCCUCGAUUCCUUACUCCAAGGAAAAGGUGAUAAGCUCAUUUGGCGGCAUGACCCUAAGGGUGCUUACUCUAUUAAAACUUUCUACUUACUCCUUGAUGCUAAUCCUAGUGCUUGAAAGUUUGGUUCAACACUAUUUGGCACUUCUCCAUUCCACCGAAGGUGCAAUGUUUCCUAGGGCUCUCGCUCAUAUAUAGAUUCUUUACCUACCAAAGGCUUCCUUUCGUCCGAGGUGUUUAAUUCAAUGUUGAGCAACUUAGAUGCCCUUGGUGCAGCCUUGUAGUGGAGACAUUUGUUCUUUGUAUUAUCUUUCAGUAUGUUGCUAGUAGUUGAUGUAUAAUUCUCUUAGGCCAUGUUUCGGAUUGUUCUGCAUUUUGUAAGCCAGGCUGGUUAGGUUCUGUUAUGCACUCUUUGUGCACUCCCCUGUUUUUUUCAUUUUCUGUUCUGCAUCAACAGUUCAUUCCCAGCCUUGUACUUUAAAAAACCAACUUAUAUUACAUCUCCAUAAGAUAUAAGCUAUACCUUGUACUAAAAAGCAAAAGAAAAAUAAGUUUUGAAAACAUUAUUAGAAACAAGAAGUUUUUGUUUCGAUCAUCUAGGUGAAUAAUGUUUACAUUUCUAACACUAUAUUUAUCAAGCCGAAUGUAUAUACUAUUUAUAUAUAGCAUAUACUUCCCCCCCUAGAGAGCCAACACAAAUUCUUAAAUAUGUCUUGCCUACAUAUCUCAAAAAGAUAUUUAAGAAAUAAUUGCAUGAAUAAAUUGAGAGGGUAAAAUGACAUUAAAAAUACCAGGUUUCUUCUUCAGGAAAGAUGAAGAACAGGGCUCAAGUAGUACAAAUUAAUCCCCUUGGUUCCUUGCUAAGCACAAAUUUGUUGUGGAAAAUAGCUGACAUAAAAGAGGAACAAUCACUAGUGUUGUAAAGGUGAAAAGCUUAUUUGCUAAAGUUUUUGGAAUUAUUCUUAUUCUUGCUCACUAUAAUUAAUUUCAGCCUAAUUAAUAGAAUAGAAGCAUGACAAAGAAAGAACCAAAAUAAUUUUGUGCAACUUGACUAAAGAUGAUGAAAUUAUGUUACAAGAUUAUAAGAUUCUAAAGAACAUGAACCCAAAAGAUUAAAAAUCAUAAUAUAAAGGAAUAGGCAGUUCAAUUACCUGGUUAAAUGAGACAAUGAAUGGGUACGUCUCCUCUCCUUAGAGGGUCUUGGUUAUAUUGGUGGAAUGGAAGAUUAAUAUCUCCUUCUAGAAUUUGUCAAGAACAGAGCAAAAUCAGAUCUCUCUGCUGGCAAAAUAAUACUAAUUGACGAUGUGGAGCAACAAAACUUGUCACACGCCCUAUAUCUACUUUCUUAUAUUUAUAUUUCAAAGGAGAAUUAAUCCAAUUUAGAAAAGUCAUGAAUCAUAAUUUCUUGUUGCCGAAAUAGGAAGAUUUGGUUAUAGAAGAAACUACGCACAACAAGUUCAGCACUUUUGUUCUUUUUUAUAAUUAAGAAACAAACAUAACCCAAAAAGACAUAUGUUUAAGCAAUCAAUAUUGCAAGAAUAAAGGAGACGGUAGAAUGAUUGCAAGGGCUAAAGCCAUAUAUAGUAGGGGAAAGGAUAUGAAACCUGUUUCCUUCUUCAAAUUAUUUGGAAAGAUGGAGCUGAACAGGUUCUGAGCCACAAACCUCUUGGAAUUUUAUGUGGAAAAGUAACUGACAUGAAAGAAGGAGAAUCAAUAGUGUUAUGAUAAAGCUGAAACUCUUCACUUGUAGCCUAUGGGUCUAGUUUCUACUCAUUAAUGGAGAGAAUUAUUGAAUUAGGAAGCAAAAAAGAAUAUAAAGUCGGCAACUCAAUGCAAAGUCAUGAUAGGAGUUGCGAAGUCACUUUCCUUGAAUUCAAUAAAAAAACUGGCCACUUGUCCUCUCUAUAAUUCCAAUAUUGUCCUCACAAAUUUCUUUAUGUGUUAAGGAAAAGACCAUAAAUACGUAGAGAUGUUAAAACAGUGUAUCGGCUGAAUAACCAAGCUACUGUUUACUGCAAUAGAACCUUGACAUGACAUAAUUACACGUAUAAAAUUAUUCUUACUAAUAAUAAAGGUUUAAAUAUUGGUCAAGUAAUUUUGGUUGGACCACACUUGACUUUUUACUUAUAAAAAAUUUAGAAUUAUUUGUAAAAAUUAUUUUAUUCAUAACUUUUAAUAUUCAAAAAGCUUGUAAAAUAGUAAAAGAUAAAAUCAGAAAAGCAAAGCAGAGAAGAAACAAUACCAAGAAGAUAGCAACUAGCAAAAUCUUCUAUCCAAAGAGAAUGAAUUUUUGGAGCAAAAACAAAAUUAAAAAAUGGCCAAGUCAAUGCCACAAGUCGUUGCUGAGGUUUCCAAGUAACUUCCCUCGAAACAUGAUAUAUAUAAAUGCAUAUUUCCUAUUUUUUGUCGUUCGGAACAUAGAAUUUUCCUUUAUUUUUAAUCUAUUCUCACUUUGUAAAUUUUGUUUGACCAUUGGCUUUCUGAAUCUAAUCUAACCUCGUAUAAUUUCAUCAUGAGGUUUGUAUAUUAAUAAUGAUCAUUGAAGAAUCUAAAAUUAACAAUUAUCAAGUGGCCACUAAAGAAAAACUAAAAUGAAGUAUACUUUGUGUGAAAAUUUUUACUUUAUUGUUCAGAGUCUAGUCUUCUAGAGAUCAUAUUCUAUCUUGUGUGUGACAGACACCAAUUCUUAAUGCUCUGCACUGAAAACGCAAUAUACAUUUGCUGAAUCGAAAUUUAUAUUCAAAAGGAGAAAUAAUCCAAUUUAAUAAAUUACUAAAAAUGUCAUGAAUUAUAAUUCCUUGUUGCUGAUAUAGAAAGAUUUGUUUAUAGAACAAACUAUGCCCAACAAGUUUAUCCCUUGAUAUAAGUAAUGAGAAAGGAAAGAGGCUUGUGCAUGAUGGGGAUUCAGCUUCUUGCUUAUCAGCCAUUUCAGAUUACUUCAAAAAAUGAAGGGGAACAGAUCAAUUCAUUCUCUUCCAGAAUAUCCUGUUUAUUAUUUCCAUGGUUAUCGGUAUCAUAUCUGUUUAUCAAACCGAUAUAUUAUCCUUCAACAAUUGAUUAUUUAUGUCCUUCAUGAUGGCAGUUUUCCUAUGCCACCUAUUCUGCGUACUGUAAUCAUUCAAACCUCAUCACUCAUCAAAUACUCCCAAAUUCGUUCUUUAAUUUUACAUCGAUUUUAACUUUUAGAUUUGGUGUUGGUAAUGUCACCCAGGUAGCUAGAGGCCGCAUACUGUCAAGGAAACUACCUUGUUACAUUUCCUUCUUCAAUCCUUCAGCAAACAAAUAAAUUUGCUAGCAUAAAUCAAACAAAAAUCAAACUUUAUUAGAUUUAGCAAUACAUCCAAUUUCCAAAUAAAAUAAAACGGAUACAAGAUACCAUCCACUAACAGUGACACAACUCCUGCAAACAAUUCAAAAUAUAUUACAGCAUAACAAUAUUCCUCCCCUUCCCACCCCAUUUAUUUACAAUGUAUCCCAACCGGCCAAUCGGCAGGCAAAGUUGGGUAAGGGGAGUGUUGCUUCCUCGAUUACUUGCAAGUGACGUAUACUUCCACUACACCACAAUCACCAUCUAUUCUCUUGGAUUGGGUUCCGACCAGUGCAUCAAAGUGUAAACUGACAAUGUUGUGAGGCGGAAGCGUAUCUUUUUCUGCCAUCGAAUAAACUUUCCUCCUUUAAAGUGAUCUAACUUGAUAAUGUUGGUAGCUAUCUCUUUAAGUGAAGCCAUUUUGAAUGCUAAGAAAAUAAGUCUUAAAAUUGUUGGUACAAAUGGGGUUUAAAUGGAAUUCAAAAACUAGCAUAAUUGACUUCAAGACAAGCCUUUCAAUAGAAGUUAUAUUUAAAUUUAUUUUGCCCCCACCACUCAGUAUGCAAAAGAGGAAUAAUGCGAAUAGCCUUAGGGAUACAAUGAAAUCAACAUCUAACUUCAUCUUACACUUUAUGAGAGUAGACCGCUAGAUACACCUGAGGAUUUACAAAAUUAUUUGGCUUUAGAGCUUACUUUUUGCAACAAGUAGAUUAUAAGGAAUUUGGACGCUUUUGUAGUUGAUGGGAACUUAAGUGUUUACGUUAAUAGAACAAAAUAUUUUUCUUACUCUUUGAUAUUUCUGCUCUUGUUUUGUUUUUGAUUUGAUGUCUCAAAAUGGUUGGCAACAAGCCCUUCCUAUAGGCUUCCUAUAGGCUUGCAAGUGUCUCUUCUUCAAUGACCCAACCCUUUCAUUAAGGCACCAUUUUGUCUAAAAGACAUCUUUACAUUUUGUUAGACAUAACUUUUGGAUAAAUGUAUUAUUUCAAUAGUCAUCUUAUGAAAAGAUAACUAUUCAUUCUAUAAAAUAUAAUCUUUGAGUUAUAAUUUGUAAUAAUAACAUUCCGUAUUUAACUUUUGAGCUAUGGUGUCUUUUUAAUUUAUCUCAUAACUUUUGAAUGUCAUUUUACUAAGAGACAUAACCAUUCAUAUGAAAACUUGCCUACAAUCCAAUAGACACACUAUGUCACUUUAUGUGACAUAACCUUUGAGCUAAGAUAGCUUUUCAUUAUAUGAUACAAUCUUUGAUUUUGAAAAUGCACCAACAACUUUGACCUUAUAAACAACUCUAAAACCACCUUCCCCUAGCUUGAUGUCCAUAGAAAAGCUAUCAGUAGCACGAGCUACGGUAGCAAGCUCCAAUAUUGGAAGCUCCAUGUCUUCAUCCUGGCCUUGAUUUUCUUGAUCAUUUUCCUUAUUGUCUUUAGUUUCUUUAAAACAGUAGCCAAAAUAGGCUUGGCAUUCACCAUAAAAUAUGAUAGAUUCUUAUGCAUUUUGAUUGAGCUAGAUAAUUGGACAAAAAGCUGAUGUGGUUUUUGAGAUCACACAAAACCAUGUAUCUCCAGUUAUUUGCUUCAUUAACAACUCUAUUUUGACACCGAUAAGCAUUGAAGAAACUGCGUGUUGAUUUGCUAGCAUCAUUACUAACAAAGGAACAAAAUGAGCAUUAUUUGUGAAGGAUAUUUCAAAGUUACGUCUGAACUUUCUGGGGCUUCUAUAAAUGUAAUAACUGACAAUAAACAGCCCCAAAACCACAGCACAGUAGUGUUCCAAUCACUGCAGCAAGCUCCAUCCUGAGCUUAUCUUUCAAUUCUGUAUGACAGAAUUUGAUAAAGAAAAGCAUAUAUGAACAAAAAAAAGUAGUGAAAACAAGAGAAAAUGUAAACUCAUACCUGAUUUUGGAGCAGACACUCUAACAUAUAGGUCCUGCCCUACUGAUUGAAAUUUUCUGUAAUCAAUCAAAUUACCAAACCAAAAGGCGCAUCCCCAAACUCUUCCUCCAUUAUCUGAACUAGUGUAUGCUUGGCUUUCUACAUUCCAUGUGAAGUCCUGUAUCAUCAGUUUGGUUCAGAACAAGUCCUGUGAUCAAUGAUUUCUAUUUGAGACAUUUUGUAUGGUUGAAAUAUAAAAUAGAAAUACCCGGACAUUGAAGAGAUAUUGAAGAGAAUUUGCAGGAAUCAUAACUCCAAAACCACAAAUGCUUUUCAGCUCUGGUAAUUUCAAUAAGGAAAGUUUCCUUAAUUUGGGAAGAAUGAAUGUUAUGCUAACAGCCCUUCCUUCUCCUCUGUUAUUUUCUCCCUCCUCUUCUGAUUCUAUUAUUUGCUCCAUUUUUUCACAAAGCCUGACAUCAAUUUCCUCCAAAUUUUGAAAACACUGCAACAGCUUAAUUGAACACAACUUCUUCAUCCUCGAACAGUUUCUCAAGUAAAAACUUUUGAGAGAAGAGAAAAUGGCAGGUGGUGUUGGGAUCUGAGAUGGAGAUACACAUAGAUUCAUGGUUUUCAUGAAUAAGAUAAAAAUGUUAUGAUCACCAUUUAAACAUAAUAUAUAUAUAUAUUUAGAGUAAUCACACUAAUCAUAUCAAAUUAAACUCAUACUCAUAAUUUGCACGCAACAUCAAAUCACCAAAUCUUAUAUAGAUAAUUUAAACUAUUAAUCUUGUUUAAUUAUAUUUGUAUUCAUCAUUUGAAGGGCUUUGUAAAUUUGUAAAGUAAACAACAAUAAGCAAUAAUUAUGUUUAUUUUCAAUAUCUUGGUACUGAUACAUCACUUCCCAAAUAUGCUUUCCUUUUCUUUUUCAUAUAUAGACAUUGUUUUAUUUGGAGAUUGUAGCUAGCUAGACACCAUUAUUGCCAGUCCAAGAGGUGACACUUUGGAGAUUGAAUAGCAUUUAAUUUUCAGGUGUUUUGGUCUUGAGAUGAGUGGCAACAUUAAUUCUUUUGGAUCUGUUGAAUUAGCUUUUGUAUAUAAAAGAAGGUAUACCUCCUCAAACAUGGAAAAUCCCCUUUCAAACCCAUAAUUUUAAAGAAAGAAAAUCCUAAUUUAAUAGAUUAGUUGCCAACUAAGGACAAGCAUUGUUGAUGUGACAUUUAUUUUGGUAUAUUCUAACACUCGUUGACUAGAUUCAAUUGGAUAGGAUUCUUAAUUUUGAUGAGAUUUAUGGGUAGUGAUUAAACAAUGGAAGUGUUGACAAUGGAGGUUCUAAGUCCCUUGCAUCUAAGAAAGAAAUGAAUUUGUUCAAUUGACACUGCUUUGGUACAUAUAGAAAGUAAGCUAAUACCAUAGCCAUAUUUCUUACGUGACUUCCAACAAAUUUGAGACUUCAGUAUGGCAAAAUAUUGGGUAUUUGAAUAAAUUACAAUACAAAUAGAGAAAGAAAAAAGAAAGAGACUAAAUAGAAAGGGGAAGUGGAAAGAUCCCCAAAAUCAAUUAAUUGUAAGUGGAAGGAGCAAAGCCCAACUUUGUUGGCAACAAAGUCAUGUUCCCACAGAUGAUUUUGUUCUUGUUGCAGAGCGUUGUCAAUAAUAUUUACUUCCAGGCUGUCUUUUGGUAAAUAGAAGCCGAUAAUGGUUCUCUGGAUCAAGCUCAAAUAUAGCUCCAUCUUCAAAAAUGAAUUGCAAAUCCUGACACUGAAGACAAAAUCAAGCCUUGUUAUUGCUUUUAAUAAAAGCAAAUAAAAUUUGAAGGGUGUUCAGCUGGGCAAUUACUAGUUCCCAAGUAACAGUUUUAACUGCUACUUUCCUGUACCAAAUUCCCAAGCAACGAUUCUUAGAGCUUCCAGGACUAAAGAAACCAAGCUCAAGGAUUCCGUCCAUCACUAACAGACUGGGAGGAGGCGGAGAUAUCGAUUCCAUCAGCAAUACUUGAAAACAAUAUUAGUAAAACAGUGUUGGUGAACAUGGAAGACAGAAUGUCCUUUUAAACUUUCAGAGCUUGUAAAACUCAUAGAAAAACUUUUCAGUUUGGCAGAUUUUAGAGAGCAAACAUAUUUAAACUGAUGAUCGUUGACUAGUAUGCAAAUCUUCCUUGAAAAGACCAAACUUUUCAGGUUGCAUAGAAUUCUUAUUUCUAAUUUUUAUGAAGCUUCAGUGCAGUCAUCUUGUAUUGUCUCUGUGAAUCAAAUAUAUAAAUAAAUAUAUAUAUAUAUAUAUAUAUAUAUUACCCACAAAUAGACACUUGCAGGGCGCUAAGCUCAAACUGGGACUAAACCACUGGUAUCAAAGCAUAAGGUACAUGACAUACUGACUGAUAGCCUAUAAUAAUGGCUUGGAGAUAAAAGAGCUAAGUAUACAGUUUAUCAAUUAUCAAGCAUCUAGUACUGACAGAGUUAUUUCAUUUGUGGGAGACGAUACAUUCUUGUCUGAUGAAGAAUCUUAUUCAAGUGGACUUUUCUUAAACAAAACACCAGGUUGUUUGGGGUGUGGCAAUUCAUUUUCGCUUCCCAAUGUCAGAAUCACAAAUGACAUACUUGGCCUAUCCUCUGGAUAUGCUGUUGUAAACUUAAACGACUGAUAAUGGAUGAAUUGUAUCACUUCUGAUAGAUUGCAAAGACUCUCCUAAGCAUUCGUCAACAAGUUUUAAAGGACUGCCUUAUUUACAUAAUCUUCAUGCCUGCAGCAAAUUGAAACCCUUUUAGGUUUUAUCAAUCCAAGAUAGGCAACAAAAAAUUGAUUAUAAAAAUAUCUGCUGAAACUGACAUGUUCAACAAGGUUGCCGCUUUGUGUUGGAUGGUAAAGCCCUCUAUUUUUUCUUCCCACUUAUUAUCUCCAUCAAUAAUAUACCAAAGCUAAAGAGAUCUGAUUUUACUGGAAGCAGUCCAUCAAUAGCAUAUUCCGUGCCAUAUAACCACUGCAGAACAUUAUCAAAAGCAAUAAAUAUAUGAGGGUAUGUAGACAUUAUGAAAAUAAAGUGAAAGUUAGUAAGUUCCAACCACUCUUUUAGCGUUCCCUUCAGUUUGGUCUCCUCCAAAAGUUCUAGCCAGUCCAAAAUCUGAAACUUUUGGAUUCAUCUCACUAUCAAGCAGAACGUUAUUAGUUUUGAGAUCUCUGUGAAUAAAAAAAAAUUAUUCAAAUGAAAUGGCAAAGAAUCUAAUUAACUCGUUUGAAGAAACUUUGGAUUUGCUAGCAUCACCAUUAACAAAGUGUUUUUUUUUUUUUUGUUUAUUUUGCAAAGGACAACUUGGCACGAUCUCUGUAAAGGAAAUGACUGACAGUGAACAACCCCAAAAGCACAACACAGUGUUAAUGCAGGAAGUUUUAUCCUAAGCUUAUCUUUCAAUUCUGUAUGAUGAAAUUUGAUAAAGAAAAGCAUACAUGAACAAAAACAAAAAAAGCAUUGAAAACAAGAGAAAAUGUAGACUCCUACCUGAUUCUGAAGCAGACAUUUUAACAUAUAGAUCCUGCCCUUUUGAUUGAAAUUGUCUGUAAUCAAUCAGAUGAUGAAACCGAAGGGCUCAACCACUACCUAUUCCUCUGUUAUCUGAACUAGUGUAUGCCAUAUAGGAAUAGUUCUACAGAUACUUAGCCCUGCGUCCCUUAAAAUUCAUACUUUUAGUUACCCAAGAAUGUGUAGCAUCUUGCAUUUUCAAAUCUUUUAAAUCUGACAAAUCCAUCUCUACUUUGGCAGUUGAAUGGCUUAUUGUGCUUACACCUUUGGGACCAGUCUGAUGAGUUCUAUCUUUCGGGAAAUUCAGGCUUAAACAUCAGCUUUCAGGGAAUUAAGGCUUGAAUCCUUUAAAAAGUGCAAGCUGAGCACCAUCACGAUUCCUUUUUGAACCACAAAGUCCAUAUCUGUCACAGUAGUCUCUUGGAGCAAAUGAGAAAAGCAUCCAAGCUUGCUUUCUGCAUUUCAUGUGUAGUCCUGUGAUCAAUGAUUUCUAUUUGAGACGCUUUGGAUGGUUGACAUAUAUAAUAGAAAUACCAGGUGGGUAGAUCAUGCAUUGUUUUCAUAAGAUGAUGUGAUUGAGUGACUUUUGAUGAAUGCAGAAUACACAAAGUGCAGCAGAAAACAAAUUAUAAACAUUGAGGUCCCAGAUAAUUUGUAUUUUUCAAUAAUAUGCAGCUUGUUCCUCUAAUCAUUCUCUUGAGUGGACAAACAUAACUUCAAUGACUUACUUGUAUUAAAUGAUUUCCAAUUCAUGAACCAGUUGAGACCAGUGUGGAUGCGUUUUCUCACAUCUGAUAGGUUGCAGGACAGUCCUAAGAAUUCACCACCGAGUUCAACAGGGGUGCCUUCCUCUCAUAAUCUCCAUGCCUGCAGCAAAUUGAAAACCUUUUAGUCAUUUUAUUAAAGUAUUUUAAUUCAUAAUAAUUAAAGUAUUUUAUUUAAGUGUUAAAGUUCUAUUUAUAGUAGUAGUAAUUAUUAUUAUUAUUAUUAUUAUUAUUAUGAGUGUGUGUGUGUGUCUUUUUUUGUUUUAAAAUUUGAAAAAAAAAAUUAAAACCAAAUUUGAAAAAUGUGAGUGAAAAUGAAAAUAAAGGAAAGGGGUAGGACGUGUCAGAUAGCAAUUGGCUGAGAUAUGCAGAUUGAAGGGUGUUUAGUUGGAGAUUUUUCUAUCAUUCAUAAAAUUAAAGACUUGGUUUUAUGUUUAUAUUAAAAAAGAGAAAUUAUUUAGCAAAUGAGAAAUUAAGAGAUAAAAAUAUUUAGCAAAUGAGAAAGAGAUGAAAAUAAACUCACAAUUAAUGUUUGCUGUUUUUAAUAAGAAGCAAGAGCCUUGCACCCUCAUUUAAUCAAACACCUCUUCUCCAUCUCAUUCUACCAAUACUGAACAAAGGGAGAAAGGACAUCCUUAGCAUCAGGCUGAUCCCAUUCCACUGAUUCCCACCAUUCUCUCGGGCUUACUAUGAUUCGUUUUAGAAAAGGAGGAGGCAAUGGUUUCCCAUUUUCAACAAGGGGAAGAGACAAUGGGAUCCUCUUUACUUCUGGACAAUCGAAUAAUGUGACAUGUUGGAGAGAAUCUACAGGAAUCACAAGUCCACCACGGCAUAUGCUUUUCAAUUUUGGUAAUUCUUCCAAGACUAAUGAUUUUAAUUUGGGAAGAAUAAAUGUUGUUCCUUCUCGUUCCUGAUUUUCUUCUGAUGCUAUUAUUUCCUCCAUUUCAUAACAAUUUCCAACUAUAAUUUCCUCUAAGUUUUGGAGGCUUUGCAACAGCUCAACUGGAUACAACUUCUUAAUCUCGUAACAAGAAUACAGUUUCAGUGUUUUAAGAGAAGAGAAGAAGGCAGGUGGUGUUGGAGCAUGAGAGGUAGAUUCAAUUUCUGCUGCUACUCCUACUCUCACAACUUCACGCAAGUUCCACAAUGACUCAAGCCAUAGCUCCUCAACGUUGUGAAGUGCGUUGCAAGACCAUGAUGACAAGUCAACCACACACUCUAUCCCUUCACACCUCCGAAUUCUACAUUUCUUCAAGUCAGUUGCCUUACGAAACAAAGGAAUAUGGCUUAAACAUUUGAAAUCAUUACACCCCUCAAUACGUAAAGUAUGAAGGUCAUUUGGGAGCACUACAUCGUCACACCUUUCUAUCUCCAAAUUUGUGAAUUCAACAUUUUUCUCAAUUUCGUUGAAAUCUGGGGAAUACCCAAUAUAAAUAUUCACAUCUGGUCCCACUUGAAAAUCGAAAGAUGUAGGCCAUUUACCUUGUGUAGACUCUGCAUAUUUCUUAAACUCUUGCAUGUCGCAAAAUGAACAUGAAACACACUCAAGCUUCCUCAAUUUGCCUACUUCUUCCCCCCUUAAAUGUAACUCCACCAGUAAGCAUUGCAGAUGAGAAAUCUUCACUAAUAUUCCCAUUGGUAGCUCCUUUAGAUGCGUUGACCCUAGACGAAAAUAUCUAAGGUUUUGUAACAUUUCUAUACCAUGAGGAAACUCCUCAAUGCUUGUACUAAAAAGGUCCAACUUUCUCAGUGCUCUGAGCUCUGCUAAUGAAGGCACAUAUUUUAACAUGUGACAAUUAGCAAGUAUCAAUGCAUUGAGAUUUUUCAACUUAGAGAUGGAAUUGGGUAGAUUCUCAAUCUCAUAAUUACCAGAAAGAUUUAGAACUUUUAGCCCAAGCAUGUGCUCAAAGAAAGAUUCUGAAAUCCUUUUUAAGUCACAAUAUUGCAAUAUCAAAGUUGACAAAUGAGGACAUUCAGGUGAUAUGUGAGCAGGGAUUUCUAUUAAUUUUGAAUUUCGCAUCAAAGAAACCUUCUCAACACUCGUUGUCCAUUCUUGCUCACUUGGUAGUUCCUCCAACUGCACAUUGGCUUUUACCAUGAACUGAUGACCUUUAAUAUACAAUGCCAGGUCUCUCAAAACAUCAUGCAUCUUAACUCCUCUUUCAUCCAAAUAAGUUUCAUCCCUCUCUAACAAGCAAUUAUUUUCAAGCUUAUUUAAAAUGCUAUGGCCUCUGUCAUGCAUUUCUUUUCUAGUCCUCAAGCCAUCAAGGAGUCCUUCAUCUAUCCAGUUUUCAAUUAAUUCAACUUUUUCAAUCACAAAAUCUUCAGGAUACAAGGAGCAAUAUAAGAAACAAUUUUGAAUUUUUGGAUCUUUCAAAUGGUCAUAACUGAACCUCAAACGCUCAAAUAUUUCAACAUCUGAUCCUUUCACACUUUUCACAUGCUCUUCUAAUUCAGUUAAUGCAUUUCUCCACUCACAAAUAUCAUUUACCCCCUUCAUGCUUUCAGCUAUUGUGACAAUGCUAAGUGGUAAACCGCCACAGUGCUCAACAAUUUUGUUGACAAUGUCUUUUAAAUUUUGAUCUUGUACAACACUAUGCCCCACAUGAUCUAAGAAUAAGUUCAUGGACUCUGUCUUUGAAAGUGGUUGCACUUUGACCACCUUACAAUCCAUAGAUUGACAAACCUCAAUCGAUCUACUAGUGAGUACAACUUUCCUCUCCAUGCCUAGUAUUGGUUCAGGGAUUCCCACAUCCAAUAAAGAAAAUCGUUUCCAAACAUCAUCUAAAAUUAACACAUAUCUUUUUCUCUCCAAAACAUCCUUUAUUGUUGUUGCUUGUUGCAAUUUAUUUUUAGGAAGAGAUUGUUUAAGAGAAUCUGCGAUAUCUUCUUGCAAUUUGAAAAUAUUCAAAUUUUUUGAUACAGUGACCCAUAUCACUUUAUCAAACUUCUCACUUUCCUUUAACAAUUGAUUAUUGAUAUGCUUCAUGAUGGUAGUUUUCCCUAUACCACCCAUUCCACAUAUUCCAAUCAUUCCAACCUUAUCACCCAUCAAAUACUUCCAAAUUUGCUCUAUUACAUCAAUUUCACCUUUUAUAUUUGGUGUUGGUAAUGUCACCCCAGCGGUUGGAGGCCCAUCAACUGCCACACCGUUAGGGAAACUACCUUGUUGGUGAAUUUCCUUUACCUCUUCAAUCUUUCGACAAACAAAUUUUCCAAAAUGACCACGUAAGAAGUAUGAAACAACACGGAACUUGGUUUCAAUCUUUUCCAUUUCAGUGUUUACCUUUUCUACAUCUUUAAACCAAUUCUCCACUUCUUUCUUCACCACUUUUCCAUGACGAAGCUCCGCUUCCUUUUUUAAUACGAGGUCUUCCUUUUGAUCAUUUAGAUCAUUCACUUUUCUUCGAAGAUCAUUCAUAUGUUCUUCAAGUUUCGGGUGAUGAUCUAUGUAUGUACAGAUUGGACCACCAAAGCACUUUAUUGCUUCAAAAAUUGGCCCUAUAAGCUCCAUAUAAGCUAUUCCCUGUAGUUUAAUAAACCAAGAUAUAUUAUAUCUCCAUAUGACAUAAGCUACUCCCUCUUUAUACUAAAAUUCUAUAUUUUCCAUAUAAUAUAGAAUAUGUUAGAAAAAAAUGUUACUAAAUAAAAGAUUUUUACCAAUUCUUCUUAAGAAAAAACAUAAUAUUUUUGAAAACAAUAUAAGAAAAAAGAUGUUUUUGUUUCCAUCAUGUUUGAGUAUAAUAUUUACAUUUCCAACACUGUUUAUAUCUAAAUGAAUGUAUUCAUUUUGCCCCUUAAAGAACCAUCGCAAAUUCUUGAAUAUAUCAUAUCUAUAUGGUUCCUAGUUUUGAUCAUUACAACAAUAAUAAAAGGAUGGUGAGAAUGGAGAAGUCAAUCUACUAUAAAUAUAUAAAUAACAAAAUUUUGAUAAAAGAAGGAAACGAUUUAAAAUUGAUAACUUCCUCUUCUAACACAUACACAUAUUAAAUAAAUGUUAUAUAUUUAUUAAUCAAUGCAAAAUUUUAAUUUUCAUAUUGAAAGACUAAAUUUACUAAAUUUGAUUAUCCAUUUUACACAUUUAAUAAAAAUUUAAGUUAGAAUAUGUAAGAAUAUCUAAUUGUUAGCGUUAAUAACUGUAGAAAUUACCAUUUAAUGUUGAAAAUGGAUAUUUUGACAAAAAAAAAUACAGGUAUAAUGCUAAAAAAACCCUUGAAUUAUUUACGAAAAUUUAAAAAAAAUUAUUCUUUUAUUAUGUUCAACCAUGCCCUUAUGCUUUUAUUUAAUUUAUAUUAAAUAAGCCUUUAUAACUAAUAGUUGAUUAAUUGUUAUUAAUCAAAAUAUCUCUCGUCAUUUUAUACUCACGUGGUGUUGAUGUGGCGUUGAUGUGUGGAGUAAAGAAUGAGAUAUGAUUAUGUCAUCAUACCACAUCAACAAGCUUUAAAAUAUCUUAAACAAUAAUUACAAGAAUAAACUGAGAAUGCAGAAUGACAUUAAAAAUACAUAAUUUCUUCUACAAAUUAUUUGGAAAGACGAAGAGCAGAGGUUAAGUUGACCAGUCAAUAAUUAAUUCCUUGGCUCCUUGUUAGGUACUACUCCUAUCUUGAGAGGACGUUGGUUAAAUAUGGGGAGAAAGGGACUGUCAAAAAAAAAUUAUCGGGAGAAAGGGAAGAUUAAUAUAUAAUUAUUCAUAAACAGUUGUUUUUAUACUAGAGCUAGAAUAUUUCCUUAUAUUGGAGGUUUAUUAUAAAAUAAAUCAGGGCUAGUACAACUAAUCUAUUUAAACUUAACGGCCAUUUUUUCUUUUGAUGGGAAAAAUAAAAACAAAGAGAAUUUCACAAACAUCUCAUAUAAGAUUAAUAAAUGUCAUAUAUUUGUAUUAAAUAAAUGUCAGGUAUCAAUGUAAAGUUUUAAUUUUGAUAUUCAAAGACUAAAUUUAGUACAUUUGAUUAUUUUCAUAUAUUCAGUUUACACAUUUAAUACAAAUUUAAAUUAGAUAAUUAGGUAAGAAUUUCUAAUUGUUAGCCUAAAUGAAUAUUGAAAUGACCACUUAAUGUUAAAAAUGGAUAUUUUCAUGCAAAAGCAUAUAUUUGAUAGCAUAACUCAAACAAAAGAAAAACUUUAUACUAUUAAAAUUUGCACUGAUUCCAUUUCGUUCUUUUCUAAUUGUUUCAUAAUGCUUGUAUUGUCUAUUAUUUCUAUUAAUUUUUUUUAACAAUUACUCCUAAUUUGAAUUUUCAGUACUUAUUACUAAUAUAAUAGUUAGUCAACAAUUUACAGUCAAAAUUUACCUUAUAUAAUUACUUAUUGCUUUACCUUACAAAUAUGAGAUGUUGGUACAUUUUUGUUAGAGACUAUAGUUGCUUAGGUUAUUUUAAUCCUUUUUUUCCCAUAUAUUUUGUCUACUAAUAUUUAGUUUUAUGGUUCCCUAGUCUCAAUUCCAUCAUCAAAAGUUUGAUUUCUUCUUUUUGUAUGCCUCUUUGAAUUAUUCAAUUCGAUCUUUAUAUAUAUUUUGACCUCUUUGAUUUAUUAUUAUUUGGUAAUUAUGUAUUUCGAAGUCCUUGCUGAAUUAUUCAAUUUCUUUAUUUUUUUAGUAAAUUGUUUUACUAUGCUCAUAUUUGUAAAUUUUCAUCAAAAUCAAUUACUCUUCCAACUAUCAAGAUCUUUAAGACAUUAUUGAUCAACAUGCAUAAUUCCAAUUUUUUUUUUUGGCAAUUUUUUAAUGUUCUUAUUUAGAUUCUAAAUUAAAAGAAUUAUUGUAAAUAACAUCAUCACCCUUGUACUGAACUGACUAAAUAUAGUUUUGAAUAAUAAUAAACAUCAUCUAGGCCAAAAAUAAUAAUAAAAUAUUAAACAUCAAUGACCAAAGAAAUAUUAAGCAUUUUGAAUAUUCGUAAAGAUUUUCAAUUGAGUCUCCUUGAUGAAUUAUUCAAUUUCUUUAUUUUUUAAGUAAAUUGUUUUACUUUAUUCGUAUUUGUAAAUUUUCAUUAAAAUCAUUUAUUCUUCUAAUUAUCAAGAUCUUUACGACGUUGUUCAUUGCAUGGGAAAAUUUUCAUUAAAAUCAUAUAUUUUAUGUUGUUAUCAAUAUUCCUAACUAAAAAGUAUAUAUUGUAAAUAAAAUCCUCAACCUCGCAUUGCACGGGCUAAAUCUAGUUUUCAAUAACAUCACCUAAAAUAAUAAUAAUAAUAAUAAACAUCAAACAACCAAGCAAAUAUUAAUCAUUUUGAAUAGUGUAAUCUAUCCAUACGUAAGGAAUAGUAUAUCUUUUCGAUAAUUAGAACAAGAAAGCUUGUGAAAACAACAAUAUAUCUCAAAAAAGACAUUUGAAAAAUACUUGCCAGAAUAAACAGAGAAUGACAUACAAAACACCUGGUUUCUUCUUCAAAUUAUUUGGAAAGAUGAAGCCCAAAGGUCAAUUAAAAUGAUCCACAAACCUCCCUGACUCUUUGUUCAGCACAAACUUCUUAGGCAGAAGAAACAAAUUGACAUAAAAUUAACAAGGAAAAUUAUUUUAAUAAAAAUGAAAAUUUUAUGUGCUAAAAUUUUCAGAAUCAUUCAUUUUCAGUUUUCACUAACUAUAAUUAAUUUUCACCUAAUUAAGUGAAAAAAAGCAUGACACAGACCAAUAAACAAAAUAAUUAUGUGGAAGGAAAGAUGAUGAAUCUGUGUUAUAAAUCUAAAAUAUGAACCCAUAUCUAUACUAAACAGUUUAAUUUACCUAGUCAAAUGAGGCAGAUGAGCUGAUACUUCUAUCCUCAAGGAUUCUUGCUUAAGUUUGCAAAAGUAGAUCUCCUUGCAAAAAAUUGUCAAGAAAAUAGCAACAAGCAGAUCUCCUUCCGAAAAUAUCCUCUAUGAAGGAAAAUGAAUAAUGAAGCACAUGAGUUAUUGAAAAGUGGGAAAGAUUAAUAUUUAUGUAAGAAACUGAAAUAAAUGCCCAACUUGUGUCUUAAUAUUGACAUGGAACUUAUAAUAAGAUGAAUUUAUGUUAUAAUUUAAGAUUCUGAUUAAUUAAUGUUAUCAAAGAUAAAACUAAAUCAUAAGUACACACAACUUAAUUCAGUAAGGCAGUGAAGUGAUAUUUCUAUCCUGAAAAGACCCUCAAUUAAUUGGAGAAACAAGUGCAGUCAAGAAAAAUAGCAGCAACAAAUAGAUUAUCUCCUUGCAAAAAAGAAAUCCCCAAUCCUAUGAGAGAAGAGAAUCAAUGGAUUAUGAAGAAAAAAAAUUAAAGUCGGCAGCACCCAAUCAAUUGACUCUUUGGUUGAUGCAUGAUUCUUUUUUAUCUAAAGAGUAGGCUUUAAAUCCCUCUUUCCCCAAUUAAAAAGAAAGAAUAAAAAUCAGAAAAUAUAAAGAAAAUGAAUUAUGAAAAACAUGAACUAUUGAAAAGUGGGCAAGAUGAAUAUUUGUACGGAUCUUAUGUUAAGAUGGGUUUGUGUUAUAAGGUAAGUUUCUGAUUAAUUAAUGUUACCAAAGAUGAAAGCAAAUAAUAAGCAUAGACAGUUUACCUGGGUCAGUGAGGCAGUGAAUUAAUUGAUACUUCUAUCCUCAAAAGGUCUUUAUUAAUUUUCGGAAACAAGCAUGUGGAAGAAAAAUAAACAGCAACAAGCAGAUGAUCUCCUUGCCAAAUUAAAAGAAAAUCCUAAACUUAAUCUUCCGUGAGAGGAAAAUUAAUGAAUUAUGAAGCAAAUAAGAGUUAAAAGUCAAUCCAAAGUCGUCGCACUAGUUGUGAAGUCACUUUCCUCGGAGCUGUUUCACAAUAAUGCAAAUGUGAAUAGAAGAAAAACUGGCAAAGUAGGACAGAAUUAUGGGGCCACUUAUCCUACUCUCCUUCAUUAUUUGAAAAGAUAAAUUGUUGAAGAAUAGCCCUCAAUUGGGGUAUUUCCAUUCCAUCAUCCGCUGUUUAAAUCAGAAAAAAAGAAGCAGCAAAGCAAAGCCAAGGUAAGAUGAUAGCAGCUAGGAAAAUCUCUUGUCCAAAUAUUAAUAUAUAUCUUUCGUGCCAAGAGAUAAUAAAUUAUGAGAAAAAAUAAUUAAUAGUCGUUGGGAAAGGUGAGUCAAUGCAGCAAGUCAUCGUUAAAAUUAAAUUAUGGGAAAAAAAAUAAUAGUAGGUGAGACAAUGCUGUAAGUCAUUGCUAACAUUGCUAACGUUUGCACCAAACUUUAAAUUAUGGGGAAAAAAUUAAUUAAUAGUCAAUGAGUCAAUGCUGCAAGUCGUUGCUAACAUUCCGAACGUUUGAACCAAACUUUAAAUUAUGGGGAAAAAAAUAAUUAAUAGUCAAUGAGUCAAUGCUAAAAUAUUGCUAACAUUUGUACAAAACUUUAAAUUAUGAGAAAAAAAUAAUUAAUAGAUAGUGAGUCAAUGCUAACAAUAUUGCUAACAUAUGUACAAAUCUUAUAUAAAUCUUAAUAAUUAUUAUAUGAAUCUUCUAUAAAGCCGAUUGACUUGAGAAAAGAUAAACAGGGAAAGUAAGGUUAUCCUCGAAUUUUUUCUUUUUAUUAACAUAUGACAAGUUCCCAGGCAAAAGCGAAAAUUCAAAUUAUUUCUAUAAUGAAGGGCUAAUUAACACCUUAUUAAUUGUUAAUUAAGUCUCCUUAAAACUACUCAUUCAGAUAAAUCAUAAUGUUUUUCCUUUUGAUAUAUAUAAAAAAGCUGUUCUAACUAUAUGAAUUUGUUCGAUCAUUGAUUUUCUCAAUCAAUCAGUUAGAGUUGAGCAGCAGAUAAUGUUUUAAGAAGUUGACGUGAAUAAAAUAUUGUGAGACAAUGAGCAGAGGGAAUGAGUAAACAAAUAUAUUACUCGACUCUAUAACAAAGAGUAGGAACUUCAAAUGUCAAUCUAUGAUUUAAUUAUCGGAUUAAUAUGUGCUACUAACACAAUCAAUGGUCCUGAAUAUCAAGAGUUGUUUGUUAUUAACACUACUCUGAAUUAGUAUUUGUAAUGUUUUUCCUUUAUUCUUAAUCAAUUCUAGAUAUGGAAAUUUGUUUGACCGUUGGCUUUCUGAAUCUAUCAGGAAUUGAAUAGACAAGGUGUUGUUAUAGGAAAGUUCAUGCAAUUGAAUACAUAAAGUGUGAAGUAAUGAGCAGCCAUUUUUAAUUAUUGAUUAAGUUGCUGCAGUUCUGAAACUCGUGAUUAUGAUGAGAUGUAAAUUUGAUGAAGUUAUUAUAACCCAAGAUUAAUUUAAUCAGCUAUCAAUGUCAAAGAACUUCACUUUCCUAGCUCAUAAACCGUGAACAGCCAUUUUUAAAUCUUGCUUGCAGUGUGUACAGAUCAUAUAUCUCAGAUGAUAGAGUUCGGCAGGAAAUCAAUCGAAUGAUUGGGCUAAAGCCAAGAUCUUCCAUGCUGAUAAGAAUAAAUGUAUCUGAUUGAGAGAAACUGAAUAUGCCUACUCCAUAAAAACAAUGAAUCAAAAUAUUAUUAUGCCUGUAAAUAUUUUUAUGGUACAUUAAAGGCAAAGAACUUGACAUGGGACAGGCAACAAGAUCGUCGAUAACAUCAUCAAUGAUUACAUUCGAGCCUUCUAUUAAGUUUAUGUAACAAAUACAAAUAAGUAAUGGCUUAUCAUGCAUUCUUAUUUUUGUUAUGAUAUGAGCAUUAAACGACUCUUCCUCAAUGAAACAUCUGAAAGAGUGUAGGAUAAAAGAAAUCAAAACAAUUUACAACUGAUGAAGUUUCAGUCCAGUCAUCUUGUUAAUGUCUCUGUGAGACAAAUAUACCGCAAGUAGGCACUUGCAGGGUGCUAUGCUCAAAUUGGGACUAAACUACCGGUAUCAAAGCCUAAGGUACAAAACAUACUGCUCAAUAGCAUAUAAUAAUAAUGACUUGGAGAUGAAAGAGUUAAGUAUACAGUUAAUCAAUUAUCGAGCAUCUAGUACUGACAGGGUCAUUUCAUUUGUCGAAGAAGAUACAUGAUUGUCUGAUGAAGAACCUUCUUCAUGAAGUGGUCUUUUCAGCAAUAGAAAACUACGUUGUAUGGGUGUGGCAAUUUAGUUUCACUUCCCAACAUCAGAAUCACAGAUGACAUACUUGGCCUAUCCUCAGGAUGCUGUUGUACACUUAAAAGACUAAUAUGGAUGCAUUGUAUCACUUCUAAUAGGUUGCAAGACUCUUCUAAGCAUUCUUCAACAAGUUCUGAAGGGUGCCUUAUUUCCAUAAUCUCCAUGCCUGCAACAAAUUGAAACCCUUUUAGGUUUUAUCAGACCAAGAUAAGCAACUAAAAUUUGAUUAUAAUCCCUGCUUAAAGAGCAGGGUUCAAAUCCCCCUUCCCCCAAGUCCAAAAAAAAAAAAUCGGCUGAAACUGACAUGCUCAACAAGGUUGGCGCUCUGAGUUGGAUGGUAAAGGCCUCUAUCUUUCUUCCCACUUAAUAUCUCCAGCAGUAAUAUACCAGAGCUAAAGACAAUUGAUUUUGCUGAAAAUAGUCCAUCAAUAGCAUAUUCUGGUGCCAUAUAACCACUGCAGAACAUCAUUUAAAGCAAUAAAUAUAUGAGGAUUUUUAGACAUUAUGAAAUAAAGUGACACUUACUAAGUUCCAGCCACUCUUUUAGCAUUCCCUUCAGUUUGGUCUCCUCCAAAAGUUCUAGCCGAGCCAAAAUCUGAAAAUUUUGGAUUCAUCUCACUAUCAAGCAGGACGUUACUACCUUUAAGAUCUCUAAAUAAUCCUCAAUCCUGAAUCUUGAUGAAGAUAGAGUAGUCCCCUAGCAUUGUCACAGAUAAUUCCCAAACUCUUGGACCAAUUCAGUCCUUUACUUCUUGUUUGAUCUGGCAAUUGGUAGGUAUUCUCUUCAUGUCAGUCCAAUAUCAUUUUUGAUCUUUGGAAGCAGCAAACUGCACCAUGUGUAAAAUGUAUGAAAUAUUUAUAAUAAGAGAAACAAUAAACCAAACCAAAUUGACAGGUUUUCAAUGAUUCAGACCACAAAUGAAUGAGUGAAGGCUUCUGUUAAGCAUGUACUCAUAAACCAGCAGUCUUUACUUUCUGUGAAUGCACCACCCAAGAAGCCUUACAAGAUUCUGAUGUUGAAGUUUGGCAAUCAAUUUUACUUCAUUUUUAAACUCUUUCAAUCUUGUCCAGAACUUUUUGAAAGCCUCUUCACAGCAAUUUCUUGUCCGUUUGCUAGUGUCCCCUGGAAAACUACACUUUAGAUUGAGCUUCAAUAAUAAAGAUAAAUUCUCUGUACUUAAGGUAACUUCAAUUAUAUGAUGCAACUUUUACCUUAUAAACAGUUCCAAAACCACCUUCCCUUACCUUGAUGUCCACAGAAAAGCUAUCAGCAGCACGAGCUAUGGUAUGAGGCUCAAAUAUUGGAAGCUCCAUGUCUUCAUCUUGGCCUUGAUUUUCUUGAUCAUUUUCCUUAUUGUCUUUUGUUUCUCUGAAACAGUAGCCAAAAUAGGCUUGGCAAUCACCAUAAAAUAUGAUAGAUUCUUAUGCAUUUUGAUUGAGCUAGAUAAUUGGACAAAAAGCUGAUGUGGUUUUUGAGAUCACACAAGACCAUGCAUCUCCAGUCAUUUGCUUCAUUAAAAACUCUAUUUUCACACUGAUAAGCAUUGAAGAAACUGCAUGUUGAUUUGCUAGCAUCACUAUUAACAAAGUAAUUUUUAACAAAGGAACAAAAUGAGCAUUUUUGUGAAGGAUAUAUCAAAGUUACCUUUCAACUUUCUGGGGCUUCUGUAAAUGUAAUAACUGACAAUAAACAGCCCCGAAAGCACAGGACAGUAGUGUUCUAAUCACUGCAGCAAGCUCCAUCCUAAGCUUAUCUUUCAAUUCUGUAUGACGGAAUUUGAUAAAGAAAAGCAUAUAUGAACAAAAAAAAGUAAUGAAAACAAGAGAAAAUGUACACUCAUACCUGAUUUUGAAGCAGACAUUCUAACAUAUAGAUCCUGCCCUACUGAUUGAAACUGUUUGUAAUCAAUCAAAUUAUCAAACCAAAAGGCGCAACCACAACCUCUUCCUCCAUUAUCUGAACUAGUGUAUGCUUGGCUUUCUGCAUUCCAUGUGAAGUCUUGUAUCAUCAGUUUGGUUGAGAACAAGUCCUGUGAUCAAUGAUUUCUAUUUGAGACAUUUUGUAUGGUUGAAAUAUCAAAUAGAAAUACCAGGCUGAUAGAUCAUGCAUUCUUUUAUAGGAUGAUGUGAUUGACUGACUCUUCAUCAAUGAACUAUACACAAAGUGCAGUAGAAAACAAGUAACAAACAUUUAGAUUUAUGAUAACUUGUCAAUAUGGGGGGCUAAACUUCUUUGAUAAAAAUUCGAAGUUUAUUUCAUGAUGUCCUGAGCUUAGCUAGGCAUCUUUCUAAACGCUCAAAAAGCGUUUUAUAGCUAAUGGACAGAUUAGUGAUCUGAAGAGGUAGUAAUCUUGUUUUUAAUCUUUAGCCAGGGCCUUUUGGCUAGCUGCUCACUCACUUUCAAAGAAGUGCUUCUAAACAUUUAUGAGAAAUAGGGGAUGCUCUGUUUGUAAUUGCAGGGUAAAGACAAAUUUUUAAUUAGUGGUUUGUCAUGACCAGUAAUAUCUCUCCAAUACCUAUGUUGAGAAGAGAGAAAAAUAAAAUGGCUAAGAGCAAUGUUAUACAUGAAAUGGGUUUACAUAGACAUUGAGUUUCAAAGGAGCCGUAGCUGGUACUGUUAUAAAGUUUGGACUGAGAAGGAGAAAGUUUUAUGCAUCAUUUUGUGGAUGAAUGAGGUAAGAAGAUUUAGUACAUAAAAAGGUAUUCGAUUGGGGAUUUUACCGCCAUACAUAAAAUUAAAAACCUUAUUUUCUUUUUUAUAAAAAGAAGAGCAAUUAUAUACCAAAUGAGAAAGAGAUAAAUGAAUAAAAAUAAAAACAGAAUGUUUGCAAUUUUAACAAGAAGCAAGAGGGCACUGUACCAUUGAGGGCCGUGGAGCCACAUUUAAUCGAAUAGCUCUUCUCCAUCUCAUUCUAAUUAUAUGUAACAAAGGGAGAAAGGACAUCCUUAGCAUCAGGCUGAUUCCAUUUCUUCUCCUUUGUGAUUUUCUUCCGAUGCUAUUAUUUCCUCCAUUUCUUCACAACUGCUAACACUAAUUUCCUCUAAGUUUUGGAGGCUCUUCAACAGCUCAACUGGAAACAACUUCUUAAUCUUCGAACAUCUACACAUAUCUAAUAUUUUAAGAGAAGAGAAGAUGGUAGGUGGUGUUGGAGCAUCAGAGUAAUUCUUUAGCAAAUGAGAAAGAGAUGAAAAUAAACUCACAAUUAAUGUUUGCAGUUCUUAAUAAGAAGCAAGAGCCUUACAGCCACAAUUAAUCAAACACCAAUUCUCCAUCUCAUUCUACCAAUAUUGAACAAAGGGAGAAAGGACCUCCUUAGCAUCAGGCUGAUCCCAUUCCACUGAUUCCCACCAUUCUCUCGGGCUUACUGUCAUUUUUGGUAGAGAAGGAGGAGGAGAUGGUUUCCCAUUUUCAACAAGGGGAAGAGACAAAGGGAUCCUCUUAACUUCUGGACAUUCAACUAUAUGAAGAAAUUGGAGAGAAUCUGCAGGAAUCAUAAGUCCACCGCUGCAAAUGCUUUUCAAUUUUGGUAAUUCUUCCAAGACUAAUGAUUUUAAUUUGGGAAGAAUAAAUGUUGUUCCUUCUCCUUUGUGAUUUUCUUCUGAUGCUAUUAUUUCCUCCAUUUCAUCACAAUAUCUAACAUCAAUAUUCUCUAAGUUUGGGAGGCCUUGCAACUGCUCAACUGGAAACAACUUCUUCACCCUCGAACAAAAACUGAUAUCUAAUUUUUUAAGAGAAGAGAAGAUGGCAGGUGGUGUUGGAGAAUGAGAGGUAGAUUCAAUUUCAACUGCUACUCCUACUCUCACAACUUCACGCAAGUUUUUCAACAAAAAUAGGCGUAACUCCUCAAUGUUGUCAAGUGCGUCACAAGACGAUAAUGACAAGUCAACCACACACUCCAUCCCUUUACACUGCCAAAUUCGACAUUCCUUCCAGUCAGUCGCCUUACGAAACAAAGGAAUGUUGUUUAAACAUUUGAAAUCAUCAUACUUGUCAAUAGUUAAAGUUUGAAGGUCAUGUGGGACCACCCUAGGGACCAGUCUGAUGAGUUCUAUCUUUCAGGGAAUUCAGGCUUAAACAUCAACUUUCAGGGAAUUAAGGCUUGAAUCCUUCAAAAAGUGGGAGCUGAGUACCAUCACAAUUCCCUUUUGAACCACAAAGUCCAUAUCUGUCAAAAUAGUCUCUUGGAGCAAAUGAGAAAAGCAUCCAAGCUUGCUUUCUGCAUUUCAUGUGUAGUCCUGUGAUCAAUGAUUUCUAUUUGAGACACUUAUGAUGGUUGACAUAAAAAAUAGAAAUACCAAGUGGGUAGAUCAUGCGCUGUUUUCAUAGGAUAAUGUGAUUGAUUGACUUUUGAUGAAUGAAGUAUACACAAAGUGCAGCAGAAAACAAAUUAUAAACAUUCUCUUCAUUGGACAAACAUAACUUCAAUGACUUACUUGUAUUAAAUGAUUUCCAAUUCAUCAACCAUUUGAGACUAGUGUGGAUGUGCAGGAUAGUCCUAAGAAUUCAUCACCAAGUUCAACAGGGGUGCCUUCCUUCCUCCCAUAAUCUCCAAGCCUGCAGCAAAUUGAAAACCUUUUAGUCAUUUUGCUAUAUCUUUCAACAUUUUAAUUCAUAAUAAUCAAAGUAUUUUUGAAACAUGCGAGUGAAAAUGAAAAUAAAGGAAACGGGUGGGAAGGUGUAAUAGGAGGGGAUGUAGGAAAUGUGAGAUAGCAAUUGGCGGAGAAAUGCAGAUUGAAGGGUGUUGAGUUGGAGAAUUUAUUUUUAUAUUAAAAAUAAAAAGUUAAAGACUUAGUUUUAUUUUGAUAUUAAAAAAGAGAAAUUAUUUAACAAAUGAGAAAUUAAGAGAUAAAAAGAGGACGUGGAUGAAAAUAAACUCACAGUGUUUGCAGUUCUUAAUAAGAAGCAGGAGCCUUACAGCCACAUUUAAUCAAACACCUCUUCUCCAUCUCAUUCUACCACUGAGAAUAUCGAAGAAAGGGAGAAAGGACAUCCUUAGCAUCAGGCUGAUCCCAUUCCACUGAUUCCCACCAUUCUCUCGACCAUACUGUGAUUUCUUUUAGAGAAGGAGGAAGAGAUGGUUUCCCAUUUUCAACAAGGGGAAGAGACAAAGGGAUCCUCUUUACUUCUGGACAUUUGAUUAUAUAAAGAUAUUGGAGAGAAUCUGUAGGAAUCAUAAGUCCACCACUGCAAAUGCUUUUCAAUUUUGGUAACGUAGCCAACUUUAAUGAUUUUAAUUUGGGAAGAAUAAAUGUUGUUCCUUCUCCUUUGUGAUUUUCUUCUAAUGCUAUUAUUUCCUCCAUUUCAUCACAAUAUCUAACAUCAAUAUUCUCUAAGUUUGGGAGGCCUUGCAACUGCUCAACUGGAAACAACUUCUUCACCCUCGAACAAAAACUCAUACGGAAUCGUUUAAGAGAAGAGAAGAUGGCAGGUGGUGUUGGAGCAUGAGAGGUAGAUUCAAUUUCAACCGCUACUCCUACUCUCACAACUUCACGCAAGUUUUCCAUCAAAAAUAGGCCUAACUCCUCAAUGUUGUCAAGUGCGUCACAAGACGAUGAUGACAACUCAACCACACACUCCAUCCCUUCACACUCCCCAAUUCGACAUUCCUUAAAGUCAGUCGCCUUACGAAACAAAGGAAUGUUGUUUAAACAUUUGAAAUCAUCAUCCUUGUUAAUAGUUAAAGUUUGAAGGUCAUGUGGGACCACCCUAUCAUCACACCUCUCUAUCUCC
rnacentral:lncRNA from 1 species